rnacentral:lncRNA from 1 species
UCCUUUGCUUUCAAACAAGUGGUGAUUAAAGGGAAGAAUUUUCCUUUAAAAUCUAAGUAUUUCAUUUCAUAAAUAAAUUAAGCUGUGGAUUUUUGCAUUAUGCUUCUCUUAUGGUUAAAAUUUUUCAUCUCUAGAAUAAAAUAUACAGAGUUUGAUGUUCGGUUUGUAAGCGGAGAAAUAAAUUUAUAAGGUAGAUUCCAACAAAGCAUCUGUGGCAAACAUAUUUAAAUAUCUAAGAAGCAAGCUUCUAAUGCUACCAAUAUUUAGGGGCCCUGUGCUUGAAGAAACAGAACUUUGAAGCUGACAGAGUGAGGCAUCUCAGCAUCUGAAUCUGCAUACAAGUGGAACAGGAGAUGCCGACAUGACAUCCUACGUGGAACUUAUGUGACACAUACAAUGAAUCCAGUUCGUUCCUAAUUCAUACGCUUACAUUGUAACCCCGUUCUGUGUGUUUCGAGUACCAUUGGCGAACCAUCACUUCGUGCCUUUGUAUUGCUAAUAGUACCUUUGCCUUGAUUGAUUUUGCUGACAAUAUAUAGGUUGUGUUUGGAAGUGAAGUACUAUAACUUUUAUGUUACGUUUACUUCCUGGAUUAGGGAAUCGGAAUCAUUAACAACGUUUAUCUCGCAAAAUAGAUUUAGGAAUCAAAAUCGGAAUCGGAAUCGUGGGACCCACCACAAUUUGGGAAUGAGCAAUGGGAGACUCAUUCCUAGGGGGAGGUGGGAAUGAGUCUCCCAUUUUCGGGAGUGACUGUUUUACCCUCCCCCAAAAUUAAAAAUGUUCAUAUUGUCCUCAUUUAUAAUUAAUUAAUAUAUUAUUAUAAUUAAUAAAUAAAUAAAUAUAUUGUUAACAAUAAUUAUUAAUAAUUUUAGUAUUUAAUAAAUAAUCACAAUAAUUAAUAUAUUAAUAUUAUUAAUUAAUUAUUAUAAUUAUUACUAUUAAUUAAUAUAUUAAUAUAUUAUUAACAAUAAUUAUUAAUAAUUUUAAUUUUUGAUAAAUAAUCACAAUAAUUAAUAUACUUUUAUUAUAAUUAAUUAGUAUACUAUUAUAAUAAUUACUAAUAUAAUUAUUUUAAUUAAUUCAUAUAUAUUAUUAAUUAAUUUAUAUAACUAUUACUAUUAAUUAAUAUGUUAGUAUAUUAUUAACAAUGAUAUAUUAAUAAUUAUAGUUUUGAAUAAAUAAUUACAAUAAUUAAUAUAUUUUUAUAAUAAUAGUUAAUAUAAUUAGUUAAAAAAAUUUACAAUUAAUUAAUAUAUUAAUAUAUUCUUGACAAUAAUUAAUAAUAAUAAUAAUUUUUUAAUAAAUAAUCACUAUAAAAUAAUAAUUAUGACAAUAAUUUGUUAAGUACUUUUUAGUAAUUUGUUACAAUUUAACUCAUUCUGAUUCCAAUUCCAAGAUAAAAUAAACACAUCAGUGGGAUUCUAGCUCAUCCUUAUUCUGAUUCAUGUAGGUCAACUAAACAAUUUAUUCUAAUUCUUUUUCCUCAUUCCGAUUCCAGCCCAUUCCAAUUACUAACAAGUAAACGCAGCAUUAAGAUGCAGAUGCUGUGGAGUAAAAGUCAUAGUUGUGGGAUAAAAGCUGCUAGUGUUUAGCAAAUUUUAAUAGUUGUAGAGUAGAAGCUAAUGGUGUUUGGUAAAUUUUAAUAGUUGUAUAGUGAAAGUUGAUGAAUAUUUGUAAUAAUUAAUUUUAAAUAAAAUUAUUUUUAAUUAUUAAUUAGUCAAAUUAUUUUUCAUAUUUUGAAUUAUCAUAUUAACUUAUGAUUAUGUUUAUUACUUUGACAAAUCAAAUUAAUAGUUAAUUAAUCAAAGUUAUUUUUCUUCACAAGCUGUAAUAAAUAUUUUUUAAAACAAAAUAAUUUAAAAAUUGAAAAUAAAUAAAUUCUAAUUUUACACAUUGAUUGUAGAAAUAAAUUAUACCAAAUGUGUCUAAUAAAGAUCAUACAACAUAACAUUAUCUACACAACUUAAAAGUGACUUUUAACCCACAAGUAUAAAAGUGUCUUGUUGUAUUAUAGCUCGGUGAGUCCAAGGUCGAUUCACAGAGAAAAUAUUUAAUUUGUUUAUUUUAUUUUAUCUAAAAAUGGAAAUAAAAUUUAAAUAUAAACAACUUAAUUUAAAUCAAAUUAUGAAAUUGAAUUAGUUAGGGUUAUGGAUCCACUCUUAGUAGUAAAUAAAAUUUAAUAAAUUCUUUUUACUAUUUUUUUAGAUUUAUUACCCAAAAGAUUAAUUAUGUAAAUUAUUAUUAUUUUCCUAUUAAUUUUAUUAUGGAUUAAGUAUUUAAUGUGCCAAAAUUUAAUUUUUCCACAAUAAAUCAAAAUACCAUUUUAUCAUACCUUAUAUUAAGAUAUUAAGAAUUUAUUGUGCCAAACUCUCUUGUUUGUCUACAAUAAAUCAAAAUUUCAAAAUAUAAAAUAUGUAUAAAAUUAAAUAGAAAAUAAUUUAAUUUAUAAAAUUAAAAAUAAAUUUUGAUUAAAUCAUAUUUAUUUCCUAAGAGUUUCACCUUACCCUAACUAUUAUUAUUUAGUUAAGAUAAUUGAAAUAAAAGUAAUUACUAAAAUUAAAUUAAACAUAAUUAAAAUGAAUAAAAAAACUAAAAUUAAAAAUAAAACUAAAUUUAAUUAUAAAAAUAAUUAAGCAAAAUAUUAAAAACACACCUGAAAAACAAGAUUACAGGGAGAUUGAGAGAAAUUGAGAAGACGAGAUGAUAAAAAACAUAAAAAGUGAGGCUCUAUUUAUAGAAAAAUAAAUUCAUGAUCCAGUGUCUUGCAGUCCAUCAUAAGCUUUAUGCAUGCGCUCUUCACAACCAUUAGAUCAAAGAUCCAACGGCUGCUCAAACUUCAAAAGUCAACAUCACACACAGCAUCAUGUGAAACGUCCGAUUCGGUCAAAGAACGGUUGAGAUUUGGCGGGUUAAUGGGUGGAUCAGAUUGACUCGAAUACAAAGGUUCGAAUCCUACAACUUACUUCACCAACCAUUGCCACGUGGCACAAUUGCGGCCAUUGAAUCAUGAACGGUUGAGAUUUAGUUAAAAUUGCAAGUUAUGCCAUGCACUCAUAUAUAUUGUAAGCUCACUUUAUCAUACAAUCAGUGCUCGGUCAACCGAAAACGUCAACCUUCUUUUACAAAAGCUCAAUUUUAAGCCGAUGUGGACUCAUCUUAAGGUUUUCAAACCUCCGGAAUCCAUAUUUGACAUCCGUUUAUCUGUUUGGAGCCUCGAACUAUGUGAAAUUAAUAUUUUACGUAAUAAACACACAAAAAUAUACAAAAUUAAAUAUAAUUAAGACAUAAUUAAUAAUUCCUAAUAUAUUGGAUAAACACAAAUAUAAAUGAUAAUAUAAUCACAAAAUAACAUUUUUAUCGCUUGAUAAUUAAACAAUUUUUAAUACCAAUCAAUUAUAAAAUUAAAAUGUAACUAAUUUCAAAAUUCUUAUAAACAUUUCCAUUGUCAUGCCUCCAUUAAACUUGCAACAAUGCCAUCUCUCAAGAUUAUUAUAUUUUGAGCUAUGUUAUCAAUUGUAUUAUAACUUUCUUUAGGAGACGCAAUCUUGCUUAUAUGUUCGUUAUUACUAUGACUUGGUUCAUCCAUUGUUUCAUCAAAAUGAUCAUGAUUUUGUGAAUAUCUUCUUAUGUAAUUAUGUAAGGCCAUGGUAGUAAUAACACUCGCUUCUUGAAUGUAUAGCUUGGCAUAUUUCGUAAAAUCUUCCACGUGUUAUUUCAAACCCCAAAAGUACCCAUUAGAGUUAGCAGUACUCUAAACACUAAGAGAUUCAGAUGCCUCAUUACUCUCUAAAGGAAAACCAAAUGAGGGAAGUCAAACAUGCUCACUCAUAACCACUGUGUUUGAACAUUAAAUUUAGGUUUUUCUCUAACUUUGGAUCAAUAACAUUUUUUCGAAAUCUACUCAAUUGCAAAUUUUCCUUUAUUUUCUUUUCCCACCAGUCUUCACUUGCAUCAACUAUCCAGGGGCAAAGCUAUGAGGGGGCUAACCCGGGCUGUAGCCUGGGUUAGUUUCUUGAAAAAAAAAAUAGUUAAUUAUAAAUUUAUUUAAAAAAAACUUAUAGUAAAAUAUAAAAUAUAACGAAUAAUUAUUGUCAAUAUCUAUUUUCUCUAAAUCGAAAAACUCACCUUCCCUGACUAAUUGAUCUAAUUAUCCAAAAUCUAAAUUCCCAAAGACUCAACUGUUCAAGUCAUUAACUUGCUGCUUUAUGAGUGACAGCCAGCCUCUACCGCACCCGCAUAAUCAUAUUGUCUUUGAAUUAGUUAUUAGCUUAUACUUUUGUCAAAUUUUUUGAUAAAAUAAUUAAUAAUUCUCUAAUAUAUUAUUAUCGCAGACAAUAUCAAUUCAGAUACGAUAAUACAUGAGUUUUCUUUUUUGAAGAAUCAGAAGACAAAACUUCUUUGAUAGUGUUUUUGAUUUACAUUGCACCUUUACAGUUUUAUUAUUAGUUUUUUGCUUGUCUAGUGUAUUUUAAUAAUUUCAUUUGUAUAGAAUAAAUUUUUUGAGAAGUAAAAUUGAAUUAAAAAAAAAAUCUAGCCCACCCCAAAAUAUAUUGCUAGCUUCGCCACUGCAACGAUCCAUAACCUAUGAUUCCACCCUAGACUAGCUUCCUAGCUAAUCAAAUUCUUCCACAGUUUCCAAUUAGUUCUAAUAGAAUCCCAUUUUUUUUUCAUCUGAAUUCUAUUGUAAUCCAAUCCAGUUUCUUUAGUGGAUUCCUUAAUUAAAUUUUCAUAUCCUUCGGAAGUCACAUGAGUCCUAGGACGAUGUUCGGCAUCCACUGCCUUAAUACAUAACUCACAAAAUACAUUUGAAGUCUGGGAGUUCCAGGUCGCCUUACUAGUUGAGCUAUUAGACAUAAUUGCGUACACUUAAACCUAGAAAAUAGAAUAAUAUUUUGUCAUCAAACAACAAUAUAGGAAAGAGAUUAAUUAAGAGCAAUACCCAAUUUUCUUUUUAAAACAAAUAACAUUAAUUAAGGAUGAAUUAUGUCUAGCAACAAGGAUGAUUUAUGCCUUACAUUACAUAUCCUGUUUCAAAAUGAGUUGUUAGUUUAAUAAACCUGGGGUUUCCUCUAAUUAAAUACCAUGUUUCGAAGAAAUUAAAAUAUUUUUUCUCAAUAGUUUAAUUUUUUGUAGUUACCUUUAAGUGAAUCCUUUAAAAUUUAUGAGAAGCUGAAAUGAUUUGUUCAAAAACAUGUAUUGUUGGAAUAUAUAGGAAUUGGUUACUUGUUUGUUGCUGCCUUUAAUGAUUUUUAUUACGGAAAUUUCAUCAAACAAGGAUUGUGCAUGUCUAUAAAAAGCAACUAAAAAAAAUUAAAAAUGCAAUAAAAAUAGUGACUUCAAAGCAAAUAAAUCACACGUGACCAAUCACCUAUUAAUUUAUUCUAAGUAAAAGCUCCAGUACAUUCUGAACAAAAAGGAAGAAAAUGAAAAAUUACAUGUAACAAAGUAAAGGAAAACUCAAAAAAUGAACAACGGGUAAAGGAAAAUGCACAUUACUUAGAUAUUUUAAAAACAAAGAUAGAACAUAUUUGUAUGAAAAUGACUGGUGUCAGAAUCGUGUCAAUGAGAAUUACCGAUGUUGCAUCGAUGAGAACUGUCGAUAUUGGAAUCAUGCUAAUAAGAACAAUGUUUAGAGUUUGUUUUAUGGAAAAAUCAAUUUGAGUUUAAGUUUAAAAAUGAGGAGGAUAAAAUCGAAAUUAAAUAAUAUGUAAGGGUAAUUUAGUAAUUUAAUAUAUAGCUAAGAAAAAUUUUUGCUUACCUGCUAAAGCCCGACUCCAAAGUGUUACUACUGAAAAUGAGGGGAUGAUAUAUGGAAAAAAGAAGCUUCAUUUUAAAUUAAUGCACAAAAACAAUUUAAAGAUUUAAGAGAUCUAAUUUGUCGUUUCAUUUCACUAAAAUGUAUUGAUAGAUAAAAUUAGCCAUUAGGUGUGUCUUAUCCUAAAAUUAAUCUUUCACGAAGUCCUUAGAAACAAUAAAAUACUAUUACAUAGCCCGGAAAGCGUUUGUAUUAAGUUAUAGAAUUAGGUGUCUCUUACACAUAUGUCUUCCCUGAAUAAAAGCGUUCGUAUUAAGUUAUGAAAUGGUGGAUUAUUAUGCCAAACAAACGGCUAUUUCCCUUUCAAAAUUAUUAAGUUAUGAAAUGGUGGAUUAUUAUACCAAACAAACGGCUCUAUCCCUUUCAAAAUUAUUGGACGUAUUUUUCAAGGAAACCUCCUCUAUCUUUCUUCCAAUUAAUGUCCAGUUAAGACUUCCGUGGGUCCAAUUAAUGUCAAUCGUUUUUGAAUGUGUACAGGAUAACAACUUGAAGACUUGAGAGGGCCAGCGUUAAUUCAAAGUCAAGACUAGGCUAUUACCCUGCAGGAUUCUUGAUAGUGAGGUGAAAAAAAAAAGGGUUGAAAGAGAUUAGGAUUUAACGCUGAGUUUAGUUUUUAUUGACCACUAAGUUAAUUAUUAAAAUUUAUUUUGUGCUUUUUCUUUCAUUUAUCUUACAUAACAAUUAUUUAUUGAGAUUCUUGUCCAAUUGAAAGAUAUUAGAUAAAAGGUUAUUAAAACUUUAGUUAUUUUUGUGUAUAAAACAAAAACUUUGGAUUAUUUAGUUUCAAAAGAAAAAAAAUCGAGACUUUGAGUUGCUUUGGAACAAAUUAUAUUUGAAAUUGAAAAGAAGAAGAAAAAAACCAUACAACGAGAAAGAGAAAAUAUAAAUGGGGUUAAUUCUAAUAAUAUGUCCUUAAAUAUAAUUGUAUAUAAUAGGGGUUUUAUAAGAUUAAUGAAGAGGUGAUCCAACAUUUUCACAAUUUGUUUUCAAUUUUUAUUCAUCACCCCGAUGCCCCAAUUUAUUUUCGUUAUUAUGUAGGUGUGGUGUUACUAGAAAUCAAAUGCUGCCUUUUUUUUCUUUUUUCUUUUUUCUUUUCUUUUCCUCUCCUCUCCUCACUUAUAGUGGAAUAUGGAGAAUUAAACAAAACCAAUUCCCAAUCAACGUUAACAUACGUUAUAUAAUAUAUUACACAUUACAAUUAUUUGUAUUUGAACCAGACUCGAAACAAAAAUUGGGUAGCCGCUUGCUGGAUUUUGUAUGGAACUUAGAGGAGAAACUUGGUAAUGAAGUGUGUGGAGGUGCGGAGACAACAGUCAGUAGGCGGUAGCAGCAGAUCUGGUCGUGGUCCUCACAGAGCAGUAGAUCAGCUGGCGGUUGGCGUUGGCGGUGAUUGUGGCGAGCGUGUGUUGGUUGCGGCUGUGUGUGUGUGUGUGUGUGUGUUUCUACUUGUGUUGAGUGUUGACUUGAGGGUGGGGAAGUGACCCAUGAGGCGUGAAGGAGGGGAGUAGAGGCUGGAGUGCGCUGUGUGGUCUCUCGUUGAGGUUUGAGGGGGAGGUAGUGAGGCGUGAGGGAGGGGAAUGAGGCUGCUGGGUACGGCUGGGUGCGCUGAGUGUGUGGUCUACUAGUUUUAUGCCUCUAUCUCUACUCGUUUUGUGCCUCCAUCUCCGUGAUGUGUGUCGUAUACGUGUGUGGUGUGUGAGGCUAUGUAGUGUGUGGUCUGUGCUCUGCAGCGUCACUAGUGCUUGAGUGCUUGUUGUUGGAUGCAUGUGUGUUGUAUCAGUGUGGGUUGUUCACUUUCUUCUUUAAGCCAACCCAUUCAGGUUAUCGAAUUGGAUCAGAUUUCACCCGAUCCGAUCGGGUUGGCAACAUUUGAUCCGAUCGGAUAUUAUGGUCAAUCCGAUCCGAUCUGAACCUAAUUUUUUUCGGAUCGAAUCGGGUUGGAUUGGUUAUUUUGCCCACCCCUACUGCCCACUGUCCCCCCUUGCCUCCUCACCAUACAAAUAACAAUUGAAAAUUAGGCCAAUUAAAUUAAAGGCAAGACGGGAUGGAAAUAUGGAAUCGUUAAUUAUUAUACCCAUGACCCCUCUAAUUAAUGGUUAUUUCCCUUUUGAUAUUAUUGUACGUGUUUGAAAGGAAACCUCAUCUAUCUUCCUUCCAAUUAAGACUAUUGUAUGUCCAAUUAAUGUAAAUUGUUUUUGAACGUGUAGAGGAUAACAUGACAAUGCGGAGACAUUUAAAGUUGAUUGAUAGAAGGAAAAAAUUUCCUAAAUAAUGAAGUUAAUUGAAAAAAUUUUAAAUUAACAAAACUAGAGUUUUAGAUCUUUUUAUAUAAUAACUUUAACUAUAAUAAAAUUCUCCUAAUCUGAAUAAAAAAUCCAAAACAAACAGUGCUCAAAUAUGUUAUUUAGGAAAAAAAAGAUAAAACUUUUAGAAGAAAUAAGAAAAAAUGGACGAAUAUCUUAAAAACGAAAAAUGACAAGGAAAGAAACAAAUUUCUAGGCUCAAGUAAGGCCCAAAAUGGCAUAAGCUUUAUAAGCUUGAUUUGUCUUCUCGUAAACUUUAAAACGAUAUAUUAUACACUCAAAACGGAUACAUAUGGCCUAAAUUACGCCCUUUGGAAAGUACCCUUCUCAUCCCACACGCCCAUCAUACAUUAGUCCCUCUCACUUGGAAAAGAACUCGCCAUCGAGUUUGACUCGUACAACGCCUCAUCAUCUAAAUGAUAUUUAAACAGAUCAACCAUAUUGAAUGUGUAAGAGAUCUUCUAGUUGUCCGGUAGUUGGAGAACAUAAGAAUUAUUAUUAAUCUUCCUUGCCACACGAAAUGGUCCAUACUUGAUGUGGACUUGCAUCACUUUCCCGUGUCGAUGCCUGUUCGCAUCGACCUUGUACAUAGCAUUUGCAACCUCCAAAUGAGCUCGUACCUUGGCAUGAAUCUGUAGAGCCCUUUCUUUUCUACCACAUUAUUCACUAUUUUUUAUACGAACCCCAUCAAGAACUAACACGACCCUAAUCAAUUUAGUUCCUAAGAUCGAAUCUAAACCAGGAAUUGAAUGGAACCCCGACCCAAUGCUUAAUGAAAGCACGAACCUUGGUAUGUGAAGACGCCACAAUCAGCUAUGGAUGGUCUGAUUGAUAAGUCAAGAGUUUGAACGUCACGGAAAUUCAAUAAGUUCAAAGAGUUUGUAAAGAACCAAAGAGAAUUAACUCUCUCACCAAUUGCAUCAAAAUUUAUCUCUGCUUAUUGGAUACGAAUACAUUAUAUGGGGCUGGUUACAAGAAUUUUUGGAAAUAAAUCCUAAGCCAAAAAUCAAAUCUGAAUAUGAAUAUAAACAAAUAGGAAAGAAUAUAAAUCAAAUUAGAAUCCUAAUCUAAGUAAAUAGGAAAGAAUAUAAAUCAAAUCAGGAUCCUAAUUGGCUUAAAUGUCUUACAUCAAUUAAAAUGGAAACUAGGCGAUUAAAAUAGAAAUAAUUGAUUUGUUUCCUUAAUAGCCUCCUCAAGAAACGAGAAAGUAUCUGAAAAAAAGAAAAAUAAUAUAUUUUCCCGCCAUAAUGUGCAAGCCAACUCCUUAUUUCAUGGAAAUAAUUAUUUGGAAACUUCAAGAGCCUAAAUCAUCCAUUUAUCACGAUUCCUUCAACGGGCCUCCACGAAUUUGAUUGAGCCCAAGUUGCUUGAAUCAAUCCAUUACGCGCUUCUUUGAAUUUCUUUGCUCGAUCUCUUGUAACAGGUCCGACGGGAACUUGAGUAGGAUCUGAAUAUGCCUCAUCCCAUGUGUUUGUGAUAGUUUUAUCCUUAAUCUCAUCAUUCCCCUCCUUUUGAAGAGGAUUUGUCCUCAAAUCAUCACCUACAUCAAAAGAACUCAAAUUAGAAACAUGAAAAGUAGCACUUACAUUGUACUCACCAGGAAAAUCCAGUUUCUAGGCAUUGUUAUUGAUCCGUUCCAAAACUUGGAAUGGGCCAUCCCCUCGAGGUAAUAACUUAGAUUUCCUUUGUUUAAGAAAUCGUUCCUUGUGCAUGUGUAACCACACCUAAUCGUCGGGUUCAAAGACUAGCUUAUGUCGCCCUUUGUUAGCUUGUUUAGCAUAUUGCUCAAUUAUCCUCUCAAUGUUGAACUUCGCCUUUUCAUGUAUCUGUUUAACAAUUUCAGCCUUUUUCUUGCCAUCUAAGUUAACACGAUAAAAAAUAGGUAAUGGAGUUAAAUCCAAUGGGGUUAAAGGAUUAAAACCAUAAACAAUUUCAAAUGGUGAAUACUUAGUAGAAGAAUGAACAGAACGAUUAUAAGCAAACUCAACCUGUGGUAAACAAUAUUCCCAAGUUUUGAUGUUCUUUUUAAUGAUAGCUCACAACAAAGUAGAUAAAGUUCUAUUCACAACUUCUGUUUGACCAUCAGUUUGUGGGUGAAAACAACAACUAAGUUCCUAACUUAGCCCAUAAUAUUUUCCAAAAGUAACUUAAAAACUUAACAUCCAUAUCAGAAAAAUUGUCCUGAGCAUACCAUGCAACCUUACAAUCUCCCUAAAGAAUAGGUCAGUGACAUUAUAAGCAUCAUCCGUUUUGUGACAUGGAAUAAAAUGUGCCAUAUUUGAAAAUUUAUUUACAACCACAAAAAUUGAGUCUUUCCCUUGUUUAGACCUAGGUAAACCUAGUACAAAAUCCAUCGAAACAUCAGUCCAAGGUGCACUAGGUAUUGGAAAAGGGGUGUAUAAGCCAUAAGGUUGCACUUUCGAUUUGGCUUGCCUAUAAGUGACACAUUUACUACAAAGUCUUUCAACAUCUCGUUUCAUAUGUGGCCAAUAGAAGUGUUCCUGUCAAACUGCUAGUCUUUACAACUCCAAAAUGCCUUAUUAACCCUCCUCCAUGGGAUUCUCUCACUAACAAAUCUCUCAAAGAACGGUUAGGCACACAUAAUUUAUUCUCCUGAAAUAAAUAGUCAUCAUGCCUAAAGUAUUUACUGACUGUGGUCUUUUCACAAGCUUGGUAUUCAACAUUAAAAUCAUGGUCAUCAGCAUACAAUUCCUUAAUAUGUUCAAAACUAAGUAGUUUAGCAUUAAGUGUUGAUAUUAAGACAUACCUGCGGGAAAGCGCAUAUGCAACAAUAUUUUUUUACCUUACUUGUAACGAAUGACAUAUGGAAAUGUCUCUAUGAAUUUUACCCAUCGAACAUGCCUCUUGUUCAGCUUGUGUUGGCCUUUAAGGUGUUUUGAGGACUUAUGAUCGGUGUGAAUCAUGAACUCCUUAGGCUAUAGGUAGUGUUGCGACAUUUCUAACGCUCGAACCAGCACAUACAACUCCUUAUCAUAAGUAGGGUAGUUUAAGUUUGCCCCACUCAGGUUUUCACUAACGUAAGCAAUUGGUCGUCCCUCCUACAUUAGGACUGCACCAAUACCAAUCCUGAGGCAUCGCAUUCAAUUUCAAAUGUUUUAUUAAAGUUAGGCAAAGAGAAUAAUGGAGCAUUUGUCAGCUUUUGCUUGAUCAUUUGAAAUGUCUCCUCUUGUGCUUCUCCCCACUUGAAUCCAACAUUUUGUUUUAUUACUUUAGUAAGCAGUGCGGCUAGUGUGCUAAAGUCUUUCAUAAAUCAUUGGUAGAAACUAGCGAGCACAUGAAAGCUUCUCACAUUACUUACACUUGUGGGACUCGGCCAGUCUUGGAUUGCACAUACCUUUUCCUCAUCAACUUGUAUACCAUGUGCACUGACAAUAAAUUCUAGAAACACACAUUUAUUUUCUAAGCAUGUCUAAAAAAAAUUUCAAAUGUAUUACAUGAUCGUUUAUGUUUUUGCUAUAAAUGAGGAUAUCAUCAAAAUAAACAACAACAAACUUGUCAAUAAAAGAUCGCAAGACAUGAUUCAUAAGUCUCAUAAAAGUGCUCGGGGCAUUAGUUAGACCAAAAUGCAUGACUAAUCAUUCAUAUAAACCAUAUUUUGUUUUAAUGGCAGUUUUCUAUUCAUCUUCUUCUUUCAUUCUAAUAUGAUGAUAUCCACUUUUCAAAUCAAUUUUGGAAAAUACACAAGACCCAUGUAAUUCAUCAAGCAUAUCAUCUAACCUAGUAAUGAGAUGUCGAUGCUUUACCGUUGUGUUGUUGAUGGCUCGACAAUCAACACACAUCCUCCACAUCUCAUCCUUCUUAGGAACUAAUAAAACGGGAAUUGCACAUGGACUCACGCUUUCUCUCACGUACCCUUUUUUCCAUUAAUUCAUUAACCUGCCUUUAAAGUUCCUUGGUCUCCUCCAGGUUGCUCCUAUAGGCUGGUCUAUUUGGAAUGGUUGUACCGGGCACAAAAUCAAUCUGAUGCUUAAUCCCUUGGAUUGGAAGUAAACCAUGUGGUGCUUCCUCAGGAAAGAUAUCCUCAUACUCCUGUAAACGAGAAGUAAUAGAACUAGGCAAGGUAUGGUCAAAUUCGUUAGUGCUUAAAAAUGUCUCUUUGUACAAAACUACAAUCAUCGACUGAUGUAAAAACAAUGCUUUUUUAAUCUCAUUGGCUCUCGCGUAGAAAUUCUUUUGUUUUCCAUCUGAUUUUCGCUCAAUGGGCGCAUUUUUCUUUGGUUUUUCUCUCACAUUUUACUCUGCCUCGUUUUGAAUUUCACUACCUUUUUCUCUCAUUUUCUUUUGCUCACUCUUUCUUUGUAAGCUCACUUGGUCUCCAUAAGCCUACUUUGGUGUCAAUGGAACAAGAGUGAUGUUGUAUUAAUUAAAUACAAAUGAAUAUUUAUUGGUGAAGCCAUCAUGCUUCACACGUCUGUCGAAUUGCCAAGGCCACCCAAGUAAUAAGUGUCUAGCCUGCAUUGGCAUUAUAUCACAAAGCACCUUAUCUUCAUACUUUCCAAUCCGAAAGUCACUAGUAACUACUUGUUCACUUGCACCUCACCACUGUCAUUUAACCAUUGUAAUUUAUAUGACCAUGGGUGUUUAAGUGUCGGAAGCCCUAACUUCUCUACCAUGAUAGUACUAGCAACAUUAGUACAACUUCCUCCAUCAAUAAUCAUACUACAUACUUUGUCUUGAGCAUAGCACCUAGUAUGGAAAAUGUUUUCCCGUUGCACUGCUUCGUCUUCCUUUACUUGUACACUCAAACCUCUCCUCGCUACUAAAGUCAAUUCCCCAGGGGCUAUUGUUGUGAAAAUUUUAAUAUACUCGCAAGCGCACGAAUCUAGAAAUAAAAUAGUGGUAACGAGGUCGAUCCCACAGGGAAUGUUAUAAAUUGUAAAGUCUAAUUUAAAUCUAAAAUUAAUAUUAAUCCUAACCUAGUUGAGCAAAUUGAGUUUUAAAAGAAAUUAAACUAAUUAAACUAACAAAGCAAUUAAAGUAAAUGAGAUUUCAAUAAGACAAAAAUUACCAAGGUUUCAAAAUCUACCACUAUUCAACUAGUAAUUAUCCAAUUAUUAAUUAAUCCCCAAUUUUAGAGUGACAACUCGAAAUUAAUCUAUGUCAUCUCAUGGAUAUAACAAUUAAGCCCAAAUAAAAUUAAUCUUGUGUAGGUUCUUUUUCUGCUUAAUAGUGUGAUAUUUAAGCGUCCCAUAUAAACAUAUUGAAUAACAAAGAGUCAAAGUUUCCUAAUUACUCUGUGUAAACAAUUUAAUGAAAGACAUAGAAUCAAAGAUAAUCAUGUAUAAACUUUAUAGAUGCAAGCAUAGAUUUAAUCGAAUAGUAAUCCUAACAAUCAACAAUGCAUGACAGAAUUGAUGAAAAGAUUUUAAUAACAUCCAACUAAUCAUGUGAAAUAAAAACCAUAAUCAUCAAAGAAUAUAUAUAGGGAAUUAAUUAAAUAAAAAUAUAAUUAUUUCAUUGAAUAGGGUUUCAUUCUUAACCUCAGCAUAAGAAAAUUAGCUAGACAUACUUGAAUUGGGAGCAACAAAAGAAAUAAAAUCAGCCAUGGAAAAAGUAAAUUGCUUCAGCUCUUCCUUUUCCUCUCUGCCGAAGCAUUUGCUUCCUUUUUCUUCCUCUGGCGGCUGCCCUUCUCCAAAAACCAAAAGCUUGCUUUUAUAUUACUCUUUAAAAUGGGCCCCACUGACCUUGUUAUUUCUUAAGCCAAAAGGCUUGGCCUUUUAAUUUUCUUUGCUCUCACUCACGUGCUCACCAAUUAAGCUUGCACUAGGAUUCUUUUUUCCACUUAUGAAAGCCAAGUGUGGGUCCUUUUAAGUUGCUUUCCAUGCAUUACAAUGCCAUGCACGUCCAGCUCACUUGAAAAAUUGAAAUUCUUUUUGAGUGCAAAUUACUCCUGUCUUUACAUGCUAUAAACUCUUAAUUGUGUCACGGCUUUGUUUCCCAAACUUGUUAUUCUUUAUGGACUUUUCAUUCUUAAUCUCCAAUUAAUUCCCUAUUCAAUAAAACAAUUCAAUUAAUUAAAAAUAACAAAUAAAAAUAACUAGCAAUUAUAUAAUUAAGGGUAAAAUAUGUAUAUAAAUUAUGCUCAUCAGCUAUAUACUCUUCGUAUUUAACGUCCUCUAAUGGUGGCAUCUCAUUUUCUUCCGUUUCAUCUUCAGUUACAAUCUUACCAUUGUCUCACAACAUCAUAACUCUCUUAUUCACACAUUCACUUGCGAUAUGCUUGUUGUCUUGAUAUUUAAAACAGUUAAUGUCACAAUUCCUAAUAGUAAGAGGCACGGUGUUACCUUGUGAAUUGUGCUUGGAGGGCUCAGAUCUUAGCUUAGGUGCAAUAGAUGCUUGUAGCCUCUCAUCUCGUUUCACACAUAGCUCGACUUCCAAUGAGUGGAACUCAAGCUUGGGGCUGCACGGGUGUUACCCCUCCUGUUGAGUUGCUGCUCAAUCUUGAUGGCUUUGUGUACCAUCUCAUAAAUCUUCACAUAAUGUUGAAACUCAACCUUAUCUGCUCUAUCAUCCUCCACAUUUGCUCUAAUCAUGACAAUCUCCAUUUCAUUAUAAUAAUCCUUCAUGCUUCGGCUACCAUGUGUAAGAUUUGUAAUUUUUUGUACAAGUCUCAAUAAUAGAGGUUAGGUACAAAAUGUCUUCUCAUCAAUGAUUUCAUUUCAUCCCAUAUCUCAACUGGACAUUCUCUAUUUCGCCUCUUACUUAUAACAAGUUUAUCCCACUAAGUAAUAACAUAGUCAGAAAACUCAAUCACAACCAAUUUUACCUUUUUUGCCUCUGAAUAAUUGUGGCAAUCAAAUAUGAACUCUUUUUUCUUCUUCCAUUCAAGGUAUGCUUCUGGGUCGGAUUUUCUUUGAAAAGAUGUGAUCUUCAUCAUUAUGCCACUCAAUCCAUUAUCUCUAUUCCUAACUCUCCUACCUCGUCCAUUUCUCCUAUAGCUACCCACUAGGUCAUUCCCUUCAUCAUACCCAUCCCUAUAAUAGUCAUCAAUCUCUCUUCUAGCUGGAGAUCUUUCUCUUCUACGUGCUUGGGGAACAUGUUGUGGCUGCCCUGCACGUGUGUUCUCUACUUGAUCCAAACGCUCGUGUAUGAGCUCUAAUUCAGCUCUCAUCAUCCUUCUUAUCAAAUUAUAGGAACCUCGUGUGUUCUCCACUUGGUUGCCCUGCACGUGUGUUCUCCACUUGGUUGCGAUGCACGUAUGUUCUCCACUUGGUGCUUAGGCUUUGAUACCAAAUGAUAGGAACCCCGUCAAGAACUAACGCGCCCCUAAUCAAUUUAGUCCCCAAGAUCGAAUCUAAACCAAGAAUUGAAUGGAACCUCGACCCAAUGCUUAAUGAAAGCACGAACCUUGGUAUGUGAAGAUGCCACAAUCAACUAUGGAUGGUCUGAUUGAUAAGUCAAGAGUUUAAACGCCAUGGAAAUCUGAUAAGUUCAAAAAGUUUGUAAAGAAUCAAAGAGAAUUAACUCUCUCACCAAUUGCAUCAAAACUUAUCUUUAUUUAUUGGAUACAAGUACAUUAUACAGGGUUGGUUACAAGAAUUUUUGAAAAUAAAUCCUUUACCAAAAAUCAAAUCUGAAUCGGAAUCUAAACAAAUAGGAAAAAAUCUAAAUCAAAUCAGAUUCCUAAUCUAAGCAAAUAGGAAAGAAUCUAAAUCAAAUCAUAAUCAUAAUCUAAGUAAAUAGGAAAGAAUCUAAAUCAAAUCAAGAUCCUAAUUGGCUUAAAUGUCUUACAUCAAUUAAAAUAGAAACUAGAUGAUUAACAUAGAUAUAACUGAUUUGUUUCCCUAAUAGCCUCCUCAAGAAACGGGAAAGUAUCUGAAAAAAAGGAAAAUAAUAUAUUUUUCCGCCAUAAUGUGCAAGCCAACUCCCUAUUUCAUGGAAGUGUUUAUUUGGAAACUUUAAGAGCUUGAAUCAUGCAUUUAUCAUGUGCGAUUCCUUCAACAGGCCUCCACGAAUUUGAUUGAGCCCAAGUUACUUGAAUCAAUCUAUUAAGUGCUUCUUUGAAUUUCUUUGCUUGAGCUCUUGUAACGGGUCCGCCGGAACUUGAGUAGGAUCUGAAUAUGCCUCAUCUCAUGUGCUUAUGAUAGUUUUAUCCUUAAUCUCAUCAAUUUUACUCCCUCAAACUGCUAUGGGCAUGAUAGCCAGAUCAUAAACAUGGCAUGGGGAACAAGUGUAGACAAUCUCAUAAAAGGUCUUACCACCAUGUUAUUGCAAGCAAACUUGACUUGAGGCAAGAUAGCUUCCCAAUUCUAUUGCUUGUCACCAUAAACAUAACACAACAUAUUGACCAGAGUGCGAUUGACCACCUCUAUUUGACCAUUUGUUUGCAAAUGAAAAGCACUACUAAACUGUACUGAAUUUAUCCUAUAGAUGAUGCCAAAACUUGCUGAUAAACUUCACAUCCAUGUCAGAAGUAAUAGUCUUUAGCAUACCAUGCAAACUUACCACUUCUUCAGAGAACAAAUGUGCAACUAAAGCAGCAUCUUCAGUAUUCUUACAAGCAAUAAAAUGCACAAUCUUUGAAAACAUAUUGAUCACAGCCUAUCAAUAUGUUCCCUUAAAAACUUUGAGGCAUAUAUAACUAAUUAGAUUUGAACAGAUACCCAUCUUGAAUAAGGAAUUCUUUUACAUUUUGAUGAUUAAUACACCAAUCUUAAAUAUGCGCAAAGUUUUCCUCCUUAGCAUACAACUCCCUCAAGCAUUCAAAACCAGUAACUUCAAUGACGAGAACAGUAAAGUAGCUUGCCUACUAAGUGCAUCUGCUAUCUUAUUCUAUUGCCCAAAUUUAUACUUCACAAUAAAAGUGAACUUUUACGUAUAGCUCACCCAUCUUGCAUGCAUCUUGCUCAUAUGUUGUUGGUGUUAAAGUACUUGAUUGCUUGAUGGUCACUAUAAGGUACGAACUCUUUGCAAAUCAAGUAAUGUUCUUAUGACUUCAACACUCUGAGGAUUGCAUAAAAUUCUUAGUCGUAAGUAGACCAUUUAUGUCAUGUUUUAUUUAACUUCUCACUUAUAUACAUAAGUGGUCGUCUCUCUUGAGAAAGAACAGCCCCAAUACCAUUACCAUAAGCAUCACAUUCAACCUCAAACAACUUGAUGAAGUUUGGUAAGGCUAACAUAGGAGUAGUAAAAAAAUUCUCUUUUAAUAAAGGAAAACUCGCACUUCGCAAUAAGUGGGGCUAUGGUACUAAAACUACAAAUAAAUAUCUUAUAAAACAUCGUCAACCAAUGAAAACUCCUAACUUCACCUACUGUCUUCGGCAUAGGCCAUUCUUUAAUGGCUUGUAUCCUCGACUCAAUAGCUCCAAUCAUAUCUACAUCAGUUAUAAAACCAAAAAUUCCACAUUACUUUACAGAAAGCUACAUCUUUAGAUUAAUGAAAAGUUUAUUUUUUUGCAACAUCUUUAUAAUCAUUCUCAAAUGUUCUAGGUGUGCCACCACAUCAACAGAAUAAACUAAGAUACUGUCAAAAUUCACUACAAUAAAUUUACAGGAAAAAGGCUUAAAACUUGAUUCAUUUAGUGCAUAAAAGUGCUUGACACAUUAGACAAUUAGAAUGGCAUAAAAAACCACUCAUACAACCCUUCGUUUAUUUUAAAUAUUGUCUUCCACUCACCAUCAGGCCUAAUUUUGAUAUUGUGAUAUCCAUUAUGCAAAUAUAUCUUUGAGAAAACUCGAGCAUCAUUUAGUUGGUCUAAUAACUCUUGAAACGUAGAAUAGGAAAUCGAUACUUCACUAUAAUAUGGUUAAUUAGCCUACUGUCUGUACAUAUAUGCCAACUCUCAUCCUUUUUUGGUACCAACAAAGUUAGUAUAGUACAUGAACUCAUGCUCUCAUGAAUGAAACCUUUCCCUAACAAUUCAUCAACCUGCCCUUGUAAGAUCACAUGCUUGUGAGGGCUCAUACGAUAAUGGGGCAAGUUAGGUAAACUUGCACCAUAUCUCAUAAAGGUGGCAGCCCGUCUAACAACUUUAGUGAUCUAAUAUCAACAAACUCAAUUAAUAAUGGCCGUACUUUUUUCAAAAACAAUCUUCACCUUUAAUUCUUCUUUUUUCUCUAGCUUCUAGCAAUCAUCGCAAUCAUCUUCUUGAUGAUUUUUAACAACCUUAGUAUUCCUCUUUUUGUUCGUUAAAGGCAUCAACGAACCUUUUUGUUAUUCCACCAAAACUCAUACAUAUUAUCCUCUCUUCUAUACUGUAUCAACAUCAAAUUGCUAAAGUUUACUAAAUAAUAGAUGGCACGCAUCCAUAUUCUUUACAUCGCACAACACAUCACUCUUAUAAAUCUUCCCAAUGGAGAAAAGAACACAACAUACCUUUAUUACUUGCAUUUCUGUCUUUUUAUUUAUCAAUCGUAUUCUGUCAGAUACUGGAUUUUUUUGGUUAAAAGUCCUAUCAUGUCAAAUAGCACCUUUGAAAAUAUGUUCUCGCUACUGCCACUAUUAAUUAUAAUGUUGCACACCUUGUCAUUGAUAAUGCCAUAUGUUUUAAAAAUCUUAUUGCGCUGAUUAUCCUCUUUAAAUUUCAAUGCUAAUAAACUCUUUUAUAUAAUACAAUUUAGUCUCUCCUUCAUUUGCUUCAAACUCUAAAGCUUCUUCGUCAUCCCCAUUCUCAAUGUCGUUCAACUUUGUCUUGCUGACUUUAGCCUCUACUAAAUUCAAAUUUUUAAGAUGAUAGUCACUUGAUCGAUGGCCUGGCUCCCUACACUUCAAACACUUGUUCAGCAUAGGCUUCACUAUAAGUGAUUGUAUCUACUAUCUCAUCUUAUAUCUCUUGUUUUAAUCUACCAAUAUAUUUCGUAACUAUUCAAAAUUAUGGCUCAUCCAUAUUAUUUUUAGUGUGUAGACGAUAAAAUUCCUUUAUGUAUUCAUCGGCAUUGUGAUUUCCUUACCUUCAGUUUUGAUAUUUAAAAUAUAGUUGCUACCAGUAAUCUACUGGCAGGAAAUACUCUCUCAUCAUCCUCUGCAUUCUAGGCCACAAUUUCAUAAUUUUUUUUGCAACUUUUCUUUAGUUUUGUAUGUAUUGCCAUCAUGCAGAAGCUACGAAAGCUUAACUCACUUCUCUUGAGGAAUCUCUAUAUACUCGAAAAAAUUAUCCACUUGUGAUAUCCAGUCUAAAAAUUUUUCAACAUGCCUCCCACAAAAAAAAAUCCAGAAUAUUAACAUUAAUCUUGUAAUCUGAACUCUUUUUGCGCCCCUAUCAUCCUCUACAUAUUCUUCUUCUUCUUAAUCGUUUCUUAGCUCCUUACGCACACGUAUUGGUUUUCAUCACGCAGGGCCUAAAUUUUGAGGUACUACUUCACCAUUGAUGCCUUGAGGUUUUAUUUCAUGACCAAUCGCUUGAGGUAUCUCCAUGUAGUUGUAAUCUUCAGGUUGUACACCACGAUUGACUCUUUGAAGUACUUCCUUGUGAUUAAAUUUUUGUUGUUGACCUCUUUUUCUGUUUUUGUUCAAGCAAAACUUAAGACUCAUGAUUGUCUCGCUCUAUCGCCACCAAUCUCGAGUUAUAAGCUUCCUCAAUUGCUUUCAAGGUUGCUUCUCUAGCCGCCCGUCUGACAGCCUCCACAGUCCUUGCCUGCAUCCCUUUAUUAACAUGUAUUUGUCUAUAAUGAUGAUUUUGAUGAUAACAAAUAAGAUUAAGAAUGAUUAAAUUUUUAAAAACUCAAAUUAUUUUUCAUACAUUUUAAAUAAAUCAUUAUUUUCAUAUAAUAAAGGUUUUAUAUUCAAAGGUAAAGUGAUUUCAUGAAAUUGGUUGUUUUUCAAGUUCAUGGUCUAAUUGAAAAAAAUUUGAGAACUUUAAAAUCAACAAGUAUUGCUCAAAAUUCUAGAAAUGGACUUGUUUGAAAAGUAUCAUAAAGUUAUGGGCCAUAGUAUAAGUACAAAAAGUUUUGGGGCAAAAAUAUAAUUUUAGAAAAUAGUUUCAUUGUAGUAGUCACUGUAGCAAACAGCUAACCGACAAAAAAAAAAAAAAUUCAAGAUUAGCCUCUGGACACUAACGGCAAACCGACUUCUUGAAAAUGGUAAACCGACAUCUUCUUUGCAAGUCACCGGACGAUAACGGCGAUCCGAAAUUUCAAUAACGGUGAUCCGACAAUUUGAAAUUCUUUCCAAUGGUAACUUGCUCAAGUUAAAACGGAAAUUCGACUUCUAUAUAACGCCGAUCCGACUUGGAGCAAAUUAUCUGUAACGGCUAUUUUUCAGCUCAAACUAUAAAAAGGCUCACUUAAACACAAACAAUGGAGAUUCCAACUACUAUCAUUGAGCAAACUAUUGAGCAUACAACUUUCAUUGAGCUUUAAAUUCUUGUAUUCAUCUCAAUUAUUCACAUACUAGGAUUUCAUUUGUAAUCAAACACAUUGUGUGAGAGAGAUUUAUUUGUAAUCCUUUUUGUAAAAUCAAGUUGAGAGGUUGUAAGUGUUGGGAUACACUUGGGUUAAGAGAUUAUGGAUAAUCUCUUAUUGUAAAGGUCUAUUUAAAGGAAAACAUUUGUCCAUGCGGUUCCUAAAAUCGCAACUUUUGUGCAGUAAAAAUAAAACGGACGGCGGAAGCUCUAGAAACCUCGGAUCGGCUUCAUUCAAAAAAGAAAAUCAAGAGGAAAGAUUGAAGUUUAAUUACCUCACUUGCACUUUCAAAAACGACUUCGUGAGGUAGGAGAAAACGACUGAAAACAGCAAGCAACGAACACUGUCCAGAAAAUACAGCUCAGCACGAACAGCUUCUGUUUUGCCACAAUCUAAGAUCCUUAAAGCACCCCAAUUGUGAUGCCUCUAAUUAGUCCACACUUAGAAAUGUUCUAGGAGUUCAGAGCAUUUGGAAUCUCGAAAUUUCGUUUAGAAAUGAGAGAGAUAAUGAAGAAACAUGAAUGCUAGUUCAUGAUGAUUCAUCCCACCAAAUAAAGCUACCAUUAUCUCUAAUAAUGGCACCAAACAUUAUCAUGUGCUAGACCCACCCACUUAGCUAUUAUUUAUUAAAAGUGAUCUUAUCACUUAAAUAAAUUAUUUAAUCAAAUAAAUAAAUAGCUAAAUUAAUUAAUUUCGCAAUUAAUUAAUUAACCCCAUUUUGAUCAAAUCAAAUGGUUAAAUGUGGGCUCAUUUUGUGACAUGUUCUAAUGCUUUCUCUUAAUCCAUAUUAGAUCCAAUAAAAGCCCAAAAUUCUAAACCCAAAAUUGGUCUAGAAGUUCAUAAUCAUAUAUGAACCCGAACAUGUACAAAAUGGUCAUUUUACGUGCUCGAUAUUACAUAAUGUUUAAUGGAGGAUUUACGAAAUUUAUUUUGUUCCUUAAACUAUUUAUGGAACAUCUAAAUUUCUAUCUUAAAUCAUAUUUAAGAUAUAUUUAUAUAUAUAUUCAUUCUCAGUGAAUUAUAAUAUAAAUAUUGAUUUUCCUAAAAUUAGGAAAUUUAACUUCUCAUUUUCUAGUAACUCCUUUUUCAUUUCUAUUUAGUGUGUGACCUUUUAGGUUCUUAGUUAUAAGGUAGUAGAACUAUUUUAAUGAUAACUCUUUAUUCAUUAAAUGAUGCUAAACUCUUUAGUCAUCAAUUAGAACUUUUCUAAUGACCUUAAGAUGCAUUGCUAAUACGCUUUACCAAUAUUGAUCUUAAGGUUUCUACAAGUCAUGAGUGACACCUAGCAGUAUAUCACAACUAUCCAAAUAACAAGAAUUGUUGGAUCUAUAGAACCUAUUCCAUUGUAUCUCUAUGUCUUGGUCUCUUCAUCAUCCAUGUCCAGAGAAAAGCACGGCUUAUGGUUUAUUAUGUUAAGCACUUAUGCUUUAUCUCAAAAUAAAUCUAAAUGAACUUGACAUGAAAAUAUAAUUUGAACUCCUUCAAAUAUAUUUCACCUUGGCCAAGGAUUUCUCAUGCCAAUUCAUAUCAUCUCAUAGGGACAUCCUUUUUGUAUAUUACAAAGUGAUGAAUUCCAUAUUGGCCAUACACUUGUCUUCAUACAUAGCCAACCAUGACAGCUAUUGCUAGAUCUCUUCCGUGAUUAGGAAUCAAUCAUUAUGCUUUCACAUAUCAGAGAUGUCUAUGUAUAAGACAUAUGUUAUGCCUCAGGUCUAAAGACCAUUACUAAACAUAGUGUCUAAUACAAUGUAUAAUAAGCCAUUAACACUCAAAACCAUAUGGCUUACUAUAUUUGGUCAAGUUCAGUAAACUCGUUCUCUCAACAAGUACCUAUGUGUUUGACUUGACAUCUCAUGUCAAUGAUAUGAAACUCACCAUCCAUUUUAGUAUCACAUUCCAUAAGGAGUCAUAACACAUACUAGUGUUUAUAGGAAUUUAUAAUGUCCAAUCAUAAAUCCACCACUAGGAACUAUUUUAGAAGUAUAGUACAAAGGAUGCACGUUUCAUAUUCUCGACGAACUCGAGAAUGUGUUCCUUAACUAUUUUACUUCUUGGACUAUAUUCAUUCAAUUAAUUUAUGAAUAUUGAUAACUAUGCCAUUUUAUAAAUAUCAAAAUGCUAUUCAAAUACAAUAAUUCCCUAAGCAAACAAACACCAUUUGAUUGGCCUUUAAGGCAUAUUACUAACAAUCUCCCACUUGCAAUAAAGCCAAUCGAGUUGUUGAAGCCUUGGAGGCUUACUUAGUAAAAUCUUCAAGCCUGAUAAGCUUGAAGGCGUGGACGUAAGCACGGUUGGCGAAACCACAUAAAAAUCAUGUGUUUGCUCUCUCUUACCCUAUCUCCUUAUUUUUUAUUUCACAUUAAUUUUUUUUAUUUCAAAUUUGAUUGCCUUGUUUAAAUUGCAUUUAGUUUUUUAGUUGCUUAAAUUUUUUAGAAACUCAAUUCACCCUCCCUUUUGGGUUGCCUAAUUAGUAUUUCAUCAUUGAUCGUCGUCUUCGGGACAAUUGCUCCUAUGAUCGUGUGGUCGUACCAUAAUGAUAAGCGAACUUGCUUUGAUACUAAUUAACGAUGCGAAAAUGUUUAAAUUUGCUGGAUAGAAGAAACAAAAGUUUCUAAAUAAUGAAGUUUAUUAAAAUGUCUGAAAUUAAUAAAACUAUAGUUUUGGGCCCCUUUAUAUAAUAAUCAUAAAUAUUUUGAAUUUAACAAAAUAGGUAAAUCUAAAAAAUUAUUUUAUAAUAAAAUUCUCAUAAUUUGAAUUAAAAAAUCUAAAACAAAUGGUGCCCAAAUCUAAGAUCUUAAAAAAAGAUAAAAAUCAUAAUAGGAAUAGAAAAUAUGAGAAAAUAUCUUAAAACAAAAAAAACGACAAGGAAAGAAAUGGAUUUUUACGCUCAAACACUGCCCAAAACUAUGCAACAAUUCUAGUUUUCAUUCGUCUCGUCACAAGCUUCAAAACAGUAUAUAAUAGGCCUAAAAUAGACACACAUAACCUAAGUUAUACCUUUCGAAAAGUAUCUCAUUCGUCCUGCGCAUCCAUCCUACAUCAUAACAGCUUGAAGACUUAGGAGGGCCAGCUUAAUUCAAAGUCAAGACUAGCUUAUUACCUUGCAGGAUUUUUAAUUGUUAGGGAAACAAUUGUUGAAAGAUGCUGGGUAUAAAGUUUAUAAAACUUUAAUUAUUUCAUAAAAUUGUUUUAUUUUUUAUUCAUCAUCACAUUUGGAUUAUCCCCAAUGGCCAAUUUUAUUUUCAUUUUUGUAUAGGUCAAAUAAAUGUUACUAGAAAUUGAUUAUUACCAUUUUUUUCUCAUUUAUUGAGGACUAUGAAGAAUUAGACGAAACUCAUAAAUGACCUAAAAUAUAUAAUGAAUAUUUAGAUAUUUUUUCAUAUCCAUACGAUAUCUUGGAGUACGACAUAGUCUCCAAAAAUAGCCAAACAUUUCACAUCUAUCACAAGUGCUUUCUUGAAUAUUAUGUUGUGGCAGGUGUUUCGUCCUCAUUUUUUUCUUUUGCUAUGGUUCUUAUAACCACCACGAGGUCGACAAUAAUUUUUUUCAGGACCUCAAUCUUAAUAAUAGCCAUGACCACAACCAUGACUACAUCUACAGGCAUGGUUAUACCAAUUUUCAUCAUGAUCACAUAGACAACAUUUGCUCCAAGAACUUGUUUUGUACCAAUAUGAUGGGCUUAAUAAUUCACUAUUCUUUUCUACAAAAAGAAGGCAUGCAAUCAAGUACCGACAGGUAGAGGUGGGCGUUCAGGUCUGGGUGAACCAAACCGAACCAAUUUCGGGUUUUAGUUCAGUUCGGGUCGAACCUAAAACUCGAACAGAUUGAAAGAGUGAAACCGAACGGAUUUGCUAUUUGGUUCGGGUUAGCCCGAACCAAAUAGAAAAAUCGUUUGGUUUCGUAUUAAAAAAAUAAAAAAUAUAUAUAACUAUCCCAUGAAUCUCGAAAUGCCCAAAUCUCCCCCACUGCCCACAAAUCCCUAACCUCUCUUAACACUCACAACUCUCCCCAGUCCUCGCCGAGCCACACCGCGAGACCCUCGCGCACGAGAGGGAAAAAAACAUACAAAAAAGAUAAAUGAAAAAAAAAAUUAAACACUCUGCUUUGCUCGCAGGACCCUGUUCAGCUGCAAUGAAAAUCACACCUCAACGUAUACCCGUAAGUUUCUCCAACAAUUGAUUAUGUGCAUACUUAAUCCCCAAAUAAAGUCUUAUGAUCUUACCAAACUUCACUAGCUAGUUAAUAACGCCACUUACCUGCAUACAUUAAAAAAAAAGAAUCAUUAAAGUUUUUACGCAUUAAAAUGAAAAAUAGAAGUUUACUUCACAAGUUUAUAAUUUGUAUACAAAUUUCUAUCUGUAAAAUGAAAACCAAUGUCAAAAUAAUAACAUACAGUAUCAAUUGGAAUAGAACAUGCCAUUCCACAAAAUGCGCCACUUCUAGAGAUAAUAGAUGUAUUGACUCUAGUAAAACUUCAUGAACAAUCAAAAUCAUACUUGCAGGGUGGCUGAUUACAUGGGCUUCCUCACAUAAUUAUUGGUCUUAUUCGUGUUUUGGUGCAUUAAUAUGCUAGUAGUGCUACACAUUCUAAAUUUUUUAUCUCAUAAAACUACUUCAAAUGAUACAUUCAUCAGUUUGUUGGUGAGACAAAAUAGUCAAUUCACUUAAAUCUUAUAAAAAAUUAUCAAUCAUUCAAUAAACGACAGAUUAUUUUACGAUGAAAUUUGAGAUAAAAAAUUAGAGAUAUCUAUCAUUAGCCUUAAUAUGCAACAUUGCCAAAGUCUUUGUCUUGGUCAUAACUAACAAGUUAAUUUUGCAUAUAAAGUUGAUUGGUUAAAAUAGUGACUCUAUAAAAAUAAUUUGUUGUUUGAAGUAUUUUGUAGAAUAAAUAACCCCAUUAAAAAUAGAAUACAAAUUUAUGGUUUAUUACAAGUUUACAACCACAAGUUCACUUUUGGUGCUCAAGUCUAAUUACAACCAGAUGUCCACUAUAGAUAAACUAUUGAAAGAUAAAAAGAAACUUUUUAUUUAAAAUACAAUGGAAUUAUACAUAAUUAAAAUUCAUAUCAAAAUGAUUACAAUAAUCAUAUCAAUAUCAAACUUCAAUGUAUGAUCACAAUUUUAAUUAAUUAUUUUCACAGUGAAUGAUAAUGUUAGGAAAAAAAGUGCAAUACAAUAUUAUUUUUAUUAUGUUUCAGUUCAAUCAUCCUAAUUUAUAAAUAAAAUUUAUUUCUAAAGGAUACUGCAUUACUAUUACAUGUAUAAAACAUUUCUUUGACUCUGUCUCAUCAGGUUCGACUUCAAGAAUAAUGAAAAUUUCUUCCAAUUGAGUACCGCGCAAGAUCUUCACAAUCACCUGAUAUCAAAAUAAUUCAAAGAAUUUUGCAAAGACAACUAGGACAAAAUAAUUGGAAAAGAGAGUAAUGCAUCAUCGUGAGAUACCUCAUCUCCAACUUUACAUUGAUCAAGAAUUUUGUGCAAAGCGGUAGCAUUGGAGACAUCUUAUCCAUUCAUAGCCUUUAUGAUGUCGCCCAAAAUGAGUUUGCCAUCAGCUCUAAGUUUGGUUGAUCUCAAACCCUACAGAUAAAGACCAAUCAACUUUAUUGAGUGAAAGCACGAGAGGGGAAAAAACAUACAAAAAGAUAAAGGAAAAAAAUGAAACACACUGCUUUGCUCAUAGGACCCUGUUCAGCUGCAAUGAAGAUCACGCCUCUACUUAUACCCGUAAGUUUCUCCAACAAUUUAUUUUGUGCAUACUUAAUCCCCAAAUAAAGUCUUAUGAUCUUACCAAACUUCACUAGCUAGUUAAUAACGCCACUUACCUGCAUACAUUAAAAAAAAAAGAAUCAUUAAAGUUUUUACGCAUUAAAAUGAAAAAUAGAAGUUUACUUCACAAGUUUAUAAUUUGUAUACAAAUUUUUAUCUGUAAAAUGAAAACCAAUGUCAAAAUAAUAACAUACAGUAUCAAUUGGAAUAGAACAUGCCAUUCCACAUAAUGCACCACUUUUAGAGAUAAUAAAGGUAUUUACCCCAGUCAAACUUCAUGAACAAUCAAAAUCAUACUUGCAGGGUGGCUAAUUACAUGGACUUUCUCACAUAAUUAUUGGUCUUAUUCGUGUUUUGGUGCAUUAAUAUGCUAGUAGUGCUACACAUUCUAAAUUUUUUAUCUCAAAAAAUUACUUUAAAUGAUAUAACAUUCAUUAGUUUGUUGGUGAGACAAAAUAGUCAAUUCACUUAAAUCUUAUAAAAAAUUAUCAAUCAUUCAAUAAACGACAAAUUAUUUUACGAUGAAAUUUGAGAUAAAAAAUUAGAGAUAUCUAUCAUUAGCCUUAAUAUGCAACAUUGCCAAAGUCUUUGUCUUGGUCAUAACUAAUAAGUUAAUUUUGCAUAUAAAGUUGAUUGGUCAAAAUAGUGACUCUAUAAAAAUAAUUUGUUGUUUGAAGUAUUUUGUAGAAUAAAUAAAAAAAUUUAUUGUUUGAAGUAUUUUGUAGAAUAAAUAGCCCCAUUAAAAAAAGAAUACAAAUUUGUGGUUUAUUACAAGUUUACAACCACAAGUUCACUUUUGGUGCUCAAGUCUAAUUACAACCAGAUGUCCACUAUAGAUAAACUAUUGAAAAAUGAAAAGAAACUUUUUAUUUAAAAUACAAUGGAACUAUACAUAAUUAAAAUUCAUAUCAAAAUUAUUACAAUAAUCAUAUCAAUACCAAACUUCAAUAUAUGAUCACAAUUUUGAUUAAUUAUUUUCACAGUGAAUGACAAUGUUAUGAAAAAAAGUGCAAUACAAUAUUAUUUUUAUUAUGUUUCAAUUCAACCAUCCUAAUUUAUAAGUGAAAUUUAUUUCUAAAGGAUAUUGCAGUACUAUUACUUGUAUAAAACAUUUCUUUGACUCUGCCUUAUCAGGUUUGACUUCAAGAAUAAUGGGAAUUUCUUCCAAUUGAGUAGCACGCAAUAUCUUUACAAUCACCUGAUAUCAAAACAAUUAAAAGAAUUUUGCAAAGACAACUAGGGCAAAAUAAUUGGAGAAAGAUAGUAAUGCAUUAUCGCGAGAUACCUCAUCUCCAACUUUACAUUGACCAAGAAUUUUGGGCAAACCGUUGGCAUUGGAGACAUCUUAUCUAUUCAUAGCCUUUAUGAUGUCGCUCAAAAUGAAAAUGAGUUUGUCAUCAGCUCCAAGUUUGGUUGAUCUCAGACCCUACAGAUAAAAAUCGAUCAACUUUACUGAGUGAAAGCACGAGAGGGAAAAAAACAUACAAAAAGAUAAAGGAAAAAAAAAAUAAACACACUGCUUUGCACGCAAGACCCUGUGUCAACUGCAAUGAAGAUCAGGCCUCUAUUUGUACCCGUAAGUUUCUCCAACAAUUGAUUAUGUCCAUACUUAAUCCCCAAAUAAAGUCUUAUGAUCUUACCAAACUUCACUAGUUGGUUAAUAACGCCACUUACCUGCAUACAUUAAAAAAAAAGAAUCAUUAAAGUUUUUACGCAUUAAAAUGAAAAAUAGAAGUUUACUUCACAAGUUUAUAAUUUGUAUACAAAUUUCUAUGUGUAAAAUGAAAACCUCUAUGUGUGUUCAGACGAGCCCCAAAGGCCUCUCAUCUCAUAUCAUCUGUAUCACUGUAUCUGGAGGGGAAGGGUAUUGUCCAAUGAUUUUGCAAAUAACCUUUUAUACACAUGUACAUAAACAUAUAAUCACAUAUGAAAUUUCAUUUCCUUUUUAUUUAACAUAUCUCAAUUCCACUCAAUUUUAUUAUCAUGCAUUUACUCAAAAAUGCUAAUAAAAUCAUUAAUCAAACUCAUUUUUAAUAAUAAUAAAUAUCAGCACGUAGAUAAAAAUCUAUUUUCUAGGAAAUUAUCAAAUUGAAGCAUCAAAUACUUAUUAUCAAAACAUGUUGUAUUGCAUCGUAAAAUCAAAAUAUACUAUGAAAAUAGGUUUUGGAUAUUCCACUCACAGUGGCNNNNNNNNNNNNNNNNNNNNNNNNNNNNNNNNNNNNNNNNNNNNNNNNNNNNNNNNNNNNNNNNNNNNNNNNNNNNNNNNNNNNNNNNNNNNNNNNNNNNNNNNNNNNNNNNNNNNNNNNNNNNNNNNNNNNNNNNNNNNNNNNNNNNNNNNNCAAAAAAUUACCAAAAUGCCCUUAACAUCGAAAUUUACCGAAUUUCUGUCGGAACCAUAAUUUAUCGAAUUAUCCUCAAAAUCCUAAAUUACCUAAUUGCUCUUAAUUCAAAUCACAAAAUUAACCACAAGUUUUGCAUACACGGAAUUACCCUUAGAAUGCGAAACUACUAAAAUGCCCUCAACAACAUAAAUUAGGGAAUUACGCCUGAAAUCUUAAAUUACCUCACUGUCCUAGUCUGGAAUUACCAAAUCAUCCACUAAUUUCAGAAAUUACGAAUUAAUUCCCAGAGUUUGCAAAAUUAUCGAAUUGCCCAUGCCGGUCAACGGUGACCGGAGUUUAGUCAACGGUGACGGGAAGUUUACUACCAAUUAAGCUAAUGCGGGAUCCGUGUUGAAAUAAAAAUCCGACUACAUAGCCAUUGAAUCGUGUUCGAAUUGUCUCAAUUUUAUGUCGUGACAAAUUUAAAAUAAUCCAAACACGAUUUAUUUAAUAAACGUAUAACAUUUAACAGUCACCACUCAUAAUGUCGGAUAAUCGUGUUGUAUCAACUUCACCGUAAUAAUUCAGAACAAGUCCAACAAAUUUAAAAUUAAUGUCGAAGGGAAAAAAUUAAAUAAUACACUUAAUUAGGAAAAUUAAAGUGCAUAUUUUAAAAUCCUCCCCACUUAUUAAAAUUUUGUCCCUCGAAAUUUACACAUGAUGAGAACAGAUGAGGGUGUUGGGCUUGCAUUAAGUCUUCACGUUCCCAAGUAUCCUCUUCCCUUGUGUGAUUCCUCCACAACACUUUUACUAAAGGAAUGGCUUUAGAUCGCAACACUUAGUGUUUUCUGUUCAAGUAUGUCCACAGGCUCCUUUUAGUACGUCAAGUCUUCCUUCAAUUUAAUUAGUUGUCUCGAUAACACAUGACUGGGAUCAUCUAUGUACUUUCGAAGCAUCGAGACAUGAAACACAUUGUGGAUUCUGGAUAACUCAGUUGGUAGAGCUAAUCGGUACGCCAACGGACCAAUACACUCCACAAUCUCAUAUGGUCCAAUGUAACGUGGGCUUAGCUUUCCGCACUUCCUAAAUCGAAGUACCCAUUUCCAAGGAGGUAUCCGUAUGAAAACCUUAUCACCCACUUCGAAUUCAAGUUCCCUCCUACGCUUAUCUGUAUAGCUCUUUUGUCUGUUUUGGGCUACCUUUAAUCUAUCCCAAAUAAGUUGUAUAUUCUCAUUAGUAUUCUAAACCUAUUCGGGACCAAAAAGCUUCCGCUCGCCAACCUCAUCCCAACAUACCGAAGUUCUACAUUUCCUGCUAUACAAAGCCUCAUAAGGUGCCAUCUCGAUGCUAGCUUGAUAAUUGUUAUUAUAAGAAAACUCUAUCAAAGGUAAAUAAAUGUUCUAACUACCCUAAAACUCCAAAACACAAGUUCACAACAUACCUUCCUAUGUCUGAAUAGUACGCUCUAAUUGUCCAUCAGUCUAAGGAUGAAAACCUAUACUAAAAUUCAACUUUGUGCUUAAAGCCUUCUGCAACCUAGUCCAAAACUUAAAAGUGAACUGGGAAUCUCUAUCUGAAACAAUAUACACAGGUGCUCCGUGAAGUCGAACAAUCUCAGCCGCAUAAAUACUCUCCAACUUAUCCAUCGAAUAAGUGGUCUUGAAAGGUAAAAAGUGAGCAGAUUUCGUGAGCCGGUCAACAACCACCCAAACAUUAUCAUGUCCACUAUGGGUAUAUGGAAGUCCCGCCAUAAAAUCUAUGGUGAUAUGCUCCCACUUCCACUCAAAAAUAGGAAGCGGCUGAGAACAUCCUGCAGGCCUUUGAUGUUCAGUCUUAAUUUGUUGACAACUAAACAUCUAGAUACAAAUUCUGCUAUAUCUCUCUUCAUACCUUACCACCAAUAAUGAUCCUUUAAGGUACAAUAUAUCUUCGUACUACCAGGAUGCAUUGCAUAAGCUGAACAAGGAUCCUCUUCCAUGAUCUCCUUUUUUCAACUCCUUAAUAUCGGGUACACAAAGUCGAUUACCCAUCACUAAAACUCCAUCAUCUCUCACCGCAAAAUCGGUUCGCAGGCCUUUUUGCACAUCCUCUCUCAACUUCAUUAGCUGUGGAUCCUGAUCUUGUAUCUGAUGGACUUUGUCAAUCAAAGUCGGCCUAACUAAAAAAUUAGCUAUUAGAGCUCUGCAAUUAUUAGCUUUUGAUGUGCUAAUAAUUUUCAUAUUAUUUUAAUUCUUCCAUAACUUAAUUUUAUGUUAAAUUAUAUUUUAUUACAUUAAUUUUAUCUUAAUUUUUAUAUUUUGUCAUUGUAGGAAUAUUGGGAAUAUUCAUGAGAACGGAAGCUUAAAUAGGAAACAAAUUGGAGCUUAAUGGAAAUAAUUACAGAUUGUGAGUGAAAAGAGGAAAGAAUAAUGCUUAAAAAAUAAUUAUUAGAUUUAUUACCAAAUAACUUUAGAAAUUUAUUGGCUAUUUGUACAAGUCACGUGGAUGAUUACAUAAAGCAUUGGCAUUUGUCAAGUGGGCUCACGUGCAUGGGCUUAAAAGGUUGGCUAGGUUUGUUUUGUUUUAAAAUCCUUUUGAUUUAAGGAUUUGUGGGUUGAGCAAUAAUAUAAAAAGGAGGAGAAACAAAAGCAAAAGGGUAGUCGCACAAAUUGAGAAGACAAAAAGAGAGCAGCCGUGAAAAUUGGAGAGAAAAACCGGGAGAGAAGGAAGAAAAAGAACGAAGCAGCCAUAAGACAUUUAGAGGGAGGAGGGAAUUAAUUCUUGAGUUUUUCUUUUCCUCUUCCCAAUUGUCCUACUUGAAUGUUUCCAAUUAAAUUCAUGGAUUCUUUUUAUAUUCCCAUGAACUAAUUUAUUUUGCUAGGGCUACGACAUAACCUAACUAUGAAGAUUUAAUUCCAUAAAUCUAUGUUAUUUUCAGUUUAUUAUUUCAUGGGUGAUUGUUCAUUAUUGUGUUUAAUACUUUUAAAUAUCUGGCUAAUAUUUAAAUGAUUUGAGGAUACAUAAUAAGACCUAGAGGAGAUUUAUGUAUUUUUGCUCUGUGUAAUGUAUGCCAUGAAUUGAACGAAAGACAGAGAUGUGCCAACGUGAUUCAUGCAGUUUUUCUAAGAGUUUCCAUGGAGCUUAAUGAAUCUUUGCAUAUUUAAAUUCACAUAGAGAUAUAGUGGGUUAAUAUGUGAAGGUAUUUUUGAUAUUACUCGAGAGAGGAUAUUGAAUAGACUAGGGAAAUUCAUUGUAACCAUGGAUAAUAAAUUUUAAUAGCAUAGAUGGAGGAUUAAAUUGGAUUAGUUAUGGUGAAAUCGGAUGUCCUAACGUCUUAAUCUCUUGGUGAUUUCUAUUACUACCUGCAUCUUUUUUCAAUUUUUAGUUAUUUUCUUUUAUUUUAAUUUUUAAUCUAAAUUCGCUUAUUCGAUUGUUCAAAUAAUUUAGGGUUAAAAUAAAUUUGGUAGCUAAUAGGAUAUACGAUCUCUGUGGGACGAUACUAUACUCUUCAUUAUAUUAUUUGUGCCGACUAGUGCACUUGCUAAUUUACGCAUCAAGUUUUUAGCACCGUUGCCGGGGAUUGUUUGGAUUAGUAUCGAUACCAACUAACCUUAGUUUAAUUUGAAUUUGAAUUUUAUUAUUUUUUAAUUUAAUUUAAUUUUUUUAUUUAAUUUUAUGAGACGUUUAAAAAGCUUUGAUUUACUGCCUUUUGAUCCAGAGAUUGAACGUACGUGUAGAAGGCUUAAUAGAGAAAGGAGAGAAGAUUUACAGGAGCUACAACUAAUCAUGACUGAGAAGCAUAAUUAAUGGUGCUCGUUCAGGCCAAUAAUUUUGAAAUUAAGCUAGCUAUAAUCUAGAUGAUUCAGACGUCAGUACAAUUUGCUGGGAUGCGGAAUGAUGAUCCAAAUGUUCAUAUUGCAAAUUUCUUGGAAAUUUGUGACACAUUUAAGCAAAAUGGUGUUUUAGAUAAUGCUAUCAGGCUAAGGCUUUUCCCGUUCUCACUAAGGGAUAAAGCAAAAGAGUGGUUAAACUCACUCCUUGCUGGAACAAUCACUGCAUGGGAUGGUUUAGCGCAGAAGUUUUUAGCAAAGUACUUUCCUCCAGCAAAAACAGCCAAGUUGAGAAAUGACAUCACAACCUUUGAUCAAUUCGAGAUGGAAUCAUUAUAUGAAGCGUGGGAGAGAUACAAAGACCUACUAAGAAAAUGCCCACAUCAUGGUCUACUAGUUUGUCGUCAGGUACAGACAUUUUACAAUGGUUUGGGAUCCAAUACCAGAACAAUGAUUGAUGCUGCAGCAGGAGCAACGUUAAUCGGAAAAACACUAGAAGCAACUUAUGAAUUAUUGGAGGAGAUGGCCUCUAAUAAUUACCAGUGGUCUUUAGAGCGACCAAUAUCAAGGAGAGCUACAGGAGUCCAUAAUGUUGAUGUGGUCACCGCUUUAUACGCACAGAUAAUUGCAAUUUGUAACAAGUUGGACAAUCUGAAUAUUCAAACUCAACCGCAAGUGUGUGAAUUAUGUGGAGGGAAUCAUACAAGCGUUAAUUGCCAAGUUAGAAGUCCUUUUGCACCAUCAUCUACUAAACAAGCUCAUUAUGUGUGAAACUUUCAGAGGCAACAAAAUAACCCAUAUUCUAAUACCUACAAUCCAAGCUGGAGAAACCAUCCAAAUCUAUCAUGGAACAACACCCAAAAUGCAUUGGCACCACCUCCAGGGUUCCAACAACAAGAAAAAAAGUCAAACUUAGAAGAUGCUCUUACCCAGCUUACAACAAAUAUGUCUCAAUUCAUGACCAAAACAGAGACAACUUUUCAUAAUCAAGCUGCAUCAAUUCGGAACCUCGAGGUACAAGUGGGUCAGAUUGCAAACUUGCUAUCCAGUAGACAACAAAGCUCUCUGCCAUGCAACACCGAGACAAAUCCAAGGGAGCAAGUUAAUGCAAUUGUACUUUGGAGUGGUAAACAACUUGAUGAGCCGCAAAAAGAAGCAAAGAAAGUUGAUAAAGGACAAGCUAAAGACACCACCAAGGUUUCAAAUGCAAUAAAUUUAGAAAUACCACAACCUAAACCAACAGCACAAGUCAAGGCCUAUGUUCCUCUAAUCUUUUUUCCUCAACGUCUCAGGAAAAAUAACAUAGAUAAGUGAUUUUUAAAAUUUCUUGAUGUGUUUAAGAAAUUGCAUAUUAACAUUCCUUUUGCAGAUGCUUUGGAACAAAUGCUGCUUUAUGCCAAAUUUAUGAAGGAAAUUUGAGGAACAUGAAAUUGUAAUGUUGACUGGGGAUUGCACUGCCAUCUUGCAAAAUAAAUUGCCACCAAAGCUGAAAGAUCCAAGGAGUUUUAAUAUUCCAUGCACUAUUGGAAAUACUUAUUUUGAAAAAGCUUUGUGUGAUUUAGGUGCAAGCAUUAAUUUGAUGCCUUUUUCUGUUUUCAAGAAAUUAGGUUUGGGUGAACUUAAGGCAACAACUGUUACCUUCCAAUUGGCAGAUAGAUCUAUAAAGUACCCAAGAGACAUAGUUGAGGACGUGCUUGUGAAAGUUGAUAAGUUUAUAUUCCCUGCAGAUUUUAUUGUCUUGGAUAUGGCUGAAGAUAUAGAGUUGCCUCUUAUUCUAGGCCGACCAUUCUUAGCUACAAGAAGAGCUUUGAUUGAUGUUCAGGAAGGGAAAUUGAUUUUAAGAGUUCAAAAUGAGCAAUCCAUUUUUAAUGUGUACGCACCUAUCAAGUAUCCAACUGAACUCAAAGAAUGUUUCCAAGAAGACACCAUGGAUAGAAAAAUGGCCAAACCUUUAAAGGAUAAGCAUCUAUUUGACCCUCCUGACAUUUAUACAAUACGUAAGCAAUCUAUUAAUGAAGAUCCAUCUCCUCAUUUUCAUGGGAAGAGAUCUAAUUGCAAGCAACUUGGGCAAGAUCCAUCCAGAUCAUCUCCUUCCAUCCACGAGCCUCCUUGAACGAUCUCUCCAAAGAUAGUCAAGCUAAUGACUAUAAAUUAAGCGCUUCUUGGGAGGCAACCCAAGCUUUCUAAACUUUAUUAUUGUCAUUUUUGUCUUUUCUUAUUUCUUCUGUCUUUUCUUUUACUUAUUUUAUUUUGUUUUGUUCUAGGUUUUUGCAUAAGUUUGGGGGUAGGAAUAUUUGCUGUCAAUUUUUUCUUUAAAAAAAGAAAACAAAUCUAAAAAAAUAAAAAAAAAAUUUUAUGCCUUUGAUGAGUAUAUUGUUGAAAAUGAAUAUGGUUCUUAGAAAUGGAUGAAUAUUUUCUUAAUUUAUACUUGAUUCUUGUGUUAGUUUCGUCUUGAUUAUGAUUCUUUAAAUAUUUUGCACACUUAUAUCGAUUUUUUCAUAAUUUUGACUUGAGAUUUGAGAUUGAUACAGCCUGAGUUGAGAAUUUUAGAUUGAGUAAAUGAUUGUUUGCCUCGAUUCUACAUUACUUAAGUACCCAGGCAUCAUAGUCAGAAAUAGCUGCCUAUAACCCUUAAGAGUGAAGCUAUUAUUGAGUAAUUUGGGCCUAUGUACCACCGGUAUGUAGAGGAUAAUCUACCAUAAGAAGAAUGUUACCUUAAGGGGUAGAGUGAAAGCUCCUGACUAUGAAAAAAAAAGCAUGUGCUUCAAGAAAAAUCAAAAGAAAAUGCAAAUUAUGCUUGUGAAAAAGAGAGAGAGAGAGAGAUCAAGAUGAUGAGGUUAGUUUGACCUACUCUGUUUACUAUUCAAUACAAGGGCUGUUGAUAUUGAAGAUUUUCAUAAUGAGUUUUGAUUGAAUUGAUUCACACACAACAUGGGAAUCCAAUAUGAGAUGAGGCUAACCAUUGAAUUAAAGUUAGAACUUUGCCAAUACUUUUAAUUUUCUUUGAGCUGUAUACUUUAUGCAAUCUUUGAGGCAUUUUUAAUGAUGUUUGUGGGUAUCAUCGCUAGAAACCCUCAUGAGACUAUAACUUGUCUACUAGGGCCACCUAGGAGUUUACAGGCUUGUUGUGUAUGCUAAAUGCAAUCGCGAUCACCUAGGAAAGUGGUUUAGUUAGGAUUUUCUUUUCAUAGUUUUUAUUUUAAUUUUUGCUCGAGGACUAGCAAAAUGUUAAGUUUGGGGGUAUUUGAUGUGUCAAUCAUUUUCAUAUUAUUUUAAUGCUUCCAUAACUUAAUUUUAUGUUAAAUUAUAUUUUAUUACAUUAAUUUUUAUCUUAAUUUUUAUAUUUUGUCAUUGUAGGAAUAUUGGGAAUAUUCAUGGAAAGGAAGCUUAAAGAGGAAACAAAUUGGAGCUUAAUGGAAAUAAUUGCAGAUUGUGAGAGAAAAGAGGAAAGAAUAAUGCUUAAAGAAUAACUAUUAGAUUUAUUACCAAAUAAUUUUAGAAAUUUAUUGGCUAUUUGUACAAGUCACGUGGAUGAUUACAUAAAGCAUUGGCAUUUGUCAAGUGGGCUCACAUCCAUGGGCUUAAAAGGUUGGCUAGGUUUGUUUUGUUUUAAAAUCCUUUUUAUUUAAGGAUUUGGGGGCUGAGCAAUAAUAUAAAAAGGAGGAGAAACAAAAGCAAGAGGGUAGCCGAACAAAUUGAGAAGACAAAAGGGGAGUAGCCACGAAAAUUGGAGAGAAAAAUCGGGAGAGAAGGAAGAAAAAGAACGAAGCAACCAUAAGAGAUUCAGGGGGAGGCGGGAAUUAAUUCUUGAGUUUUUCUUUUCCUCUUCUCAAUUGUCUUGCUUGAAUGUUCCCAAUUAAAUUAAUGGAUUCUCUUUAUACUCCCAUGAACUAAUUUAUUUUCCUAGGGCUACGACGUAGCCUAACUCUGAAGAUUUAAUUCCAUAAAUCUAUGUUAUUUUUAGCUUAUUAUUCCAUAGGUGAGUGUUCAUUAUUGUGUUUAAUGCUUUUAAAUAUCUGGCUAAUAUUUAAAUGAUUUGAGGAUACAUAAUGAGACCGAGAGGAGAUUUAUGUAUUUUUGCUCUAUGUAAUGUAUGCCAUGAAUUGAACGAAAGACAGAGAUGUGCCAACGUGAUUCAUGAAGUUUUUAUAAGAGUUUUCAUAGAGCUUAAUGAAUCUUUGCAUAUUUAAAUUCACAUAGAGAUAUAGUGGGUUAAUAUGUGAAGGUAUUUUUGAUAUUACUCGAGAAAGGAUAUUGAAUAGACUAGGGAAAUUCACUGUCAACAUGGAUAAUAAAUUUUAAUAGCAUAGAUGGAGGAUUAAAUUGGAUUAGUUAUUGUGAAAUCGGAUGUCCUAGUGUUUUAAUCUCUUGGUGAUUUCUAUUACUUUCGCAUCUUUAUUUAAUUUUUAGUUAUUUUAUUUUAUUUUAAUUUUUAGUCUAAAUUUACUUAUUCGAUUGUUCAAAUAAAUUAGGGUUAGAAUAAUUUCAGUAGCUAAUAGGAUAUACAAUCUCUGCAGGACGAUACUCUACUCUUCAUUAUAUUACUUGUGCCGACUGGUAGACUUGAUAAUUUACGCAUCAAGUUUUUGGUUAUUAGCUUUCAACUCAACUCCCAAAGAUCUCAGCUCGAUCAACAAAGGCAUAUAUGUCACUCAUAAAUGAGCUACAGAGCUGGAGGACUUCCUACUUAACGCAUCAGCUACCACAUUUGCUUUGCCCGGAUGAUAAUCAAUAGUACAAUCGUAGUCCUUAAUCAGCUCGAUCAAUCUCCUCUGUCUCAAAUUUAACUCUUUCUAAGUAAAUAAAUACUUCAAGUUCUUAUGAUCGGUGACAAUCUGACACGUUGCCCCGUAUAAAUAAUACCUUCAUGUCUUCAGUGUAAACACCACUGCUACUAGCUCUAAAUCAUGAGUUGGGUAGUUUUGCUUAUGCUUCUUAAGUUAUCUAGAAGCAUAGGCCACUACUUUCCCAUGUUGCAUUAGCACACAUCCCAAUCCUUGUCUAGAGGCAUCACUGUAUACCACAAACCCUUCAUUACUCGAUGGAAGUGUAAGAACUGGGGCUGAAGUAAGACAUGUCUUAAGUUCUUGAAACUCUUUUCACAGUCAUCAUCCCAUUGGAACUUAACAUUAUUUUUGGUUAAUCAUGUCAAAGGAAUAACAAUCUUGGAAAAUCCCUCCACAAAUCUACGAUAGUAGUCAACUACUUCAAGGAAACUUUGAAUCUCUGUGACAUUUGUAGGUCGUUCCCAAUUUACAACUGCUUCGAUCUUUUGAGGAUCGACAUAAAUCCGUUCAGCUGAUAUCAUAUGGCCCAGAAAUACUAGUUUAUCCAACCAGAACUCACACUUGUUGAACUUGGCAUAUAAUUGCUUUUGCCUUAAAGUCUGCAAAACAGUUCGCAAAUAUUCUGCAUGUUCCUCCUAGUUCCGAGAAUACACCAAAAUAUCAUUAAUGAACACAAUCAUAAACGGAUAUAGAUAAGGGUGAAAUACUCUAUUCAUAAGAUCAAUAAAAGCUGCUGGAGCAUUAGUCAAUGCAAAUGGCAUCACCAAGAACUCAUAGUGUCCAUAACAGGUUCUGAAUGUCGUUUUAAGAACAUCGACCUCUUUAAUUCUAAGCUAAUGAUAUCCCGAGCAUAAAUCAAGCUUAGAAAAUACUUUCGCUCUCUGAAGUUGAUCAAACAAGUCAUCAAUUUACGGAAGUGGAUACUUAUUGCGUAUUGUAACUUUGUUUAAUUAUCUGUAGUCAAUGCAGAGUCUAAGAGUACCAUCUUUUUUCUUAACAAACAAAACCGGAGCACCCACGGAGACACAUUAGGUCUCAUAAAUCACUUAUCCACCAAUUCUUGCAGUUGAAAUUUAAGUUCCUUUAGUUCAACUGGAGCCAUCCUGUACAGUGCUACAGAUAUAGGAACUGUUCCAGGGACUAAAUCAAUAGAAAACUCAACCUCCCUAUUAGGUGGCAUCCUUGGAAGUUCAUCUGGAAACUCUUGGACUACUGGAACAUCCUCCAAUCUCAACUCCCGAACUUCAGUGUCUAUCACAUGCGAUAUAAGCUGAGCAACCUUUCUUAGUAACCGUCUAGCACCAAUGGCUGAUACGACACAUGAGGGUAAAACUCUACACUCACCACAAAACUUCACCUCAGUUUUCCCUGGCUUUUCUAAACAUAACUUCCUUUUUGAAACAAUCCUUAGUAUCAUAAUGAGAUGCAAGUCAGUCCAUGCCCAAAAUGUUAUUGAAAUCUCGAAUGUCUAAAAUAAUCAAAUUCGCCUUAAAUUCUUGCUCACCAAAUUUAAUCAUACAAUCUUAAUACACACUCUCUGCAAGCAGUGACCCCCUGCAGGUGUAUUAACAACUAAACCAUAAUCUAGUGGUUCAUACUCUCUCUCUCAAAUGCAUGGCAAAAACAUGAGAAACAAAAGAAUGCGUGGAUCCAGGAUAAAAAAGAAUAUAAGCCUAAGUAAUUGCAACAUGUCAUUGAUAUUGAUGUUCUACUAUUUGCCACCAAUGAUAAGCUUUAUCCUUGAGUAGAAAAGUGGCAAAGGAAAGUCCAUCCUCCUUUGAGCAUCUCAUCACAUUAAAAAUACGUUCUAACUUGACAAACCACGACUCUGCCUCAGGUGCAUCUCCAGAACCAUUAAAACUCUUUGCCCCUAAAUUUUGUACACGCUCGAUAGUGUUUACAUGACCGGCAUACAGAUGAGUCUGAUUAUGUACCAUUGUAGUCACAAUCUCAGCUAGUUUAUCAAUUGACUGCUCAAGGUUGGAUACAUUUCUUGGUGUCUGUUGUGCAACCUCGUGCGUUGAAGACUCAACUACUCUCUCGUUUACAGGAUUAUUUUCCGCCGCAGGUACAUCUCCUGGAGUCAACCCAGCUACUGAUUUAGUACGGCUACGACCACCCCUAUUGCUACAACGAAUCAUGAUGGUGCUCACAAAAUAUCAAUUACGACUUUAACAACAGCAAAACUUAUUCUAAUCACAACAACAAAGUCUACAUAAUCUAAAACCGUGCUCUGAUACCAACUAAAACGACCCGCCCCGACUCCCCAGGAUGAGUCUAUCUAACUCGCCUAACCAAAUUAAUAAUAAUUCUAAUGUCUAAGAAUUCUACCAAAAUUUUGGCAGAGUCUCCUAUAUAAUUAUGACAUCCCCAAACUGCAAUUUAUAAAAUUAACACCCAAAAAUGAUACAAUAUUCAAUCAACCUCCACAACUAACUUCAUCAAUCAAAUACCAGUAUCCUUCAAACAUAUAAUGUCAAGAAUAUAAUAAUUUAUCCUUAAUCACAAAUAAGUAAUAAAUUAUAUAAUUCAAAAUAUCCCAACAAAACAUCUAGGUUUAACACCGUCACGUGGCCAUAGUUUCAAAUCUAACUAUCGUUGCUGGGUCGACUGAUGCAUCUGCAAAUCUCCUGUAGCGGGAAAAAUAUAAUAAAAACAGGGUGAGUAUAAAACUCAGUGAGCUCAGUGAGUGGAUAGUAGUUUUUGAAAAAUAAAUUUAUUUAAAAUGAUUUAAUCUUUCCCAAAUAAAUUUCAUCAAAAUAUCAUAAGAACUUAAAUAAACAUAUUUAAUUAAAAUCAUGCACUAAAAUAACAAUAUUACAUAAAUCUGCAUAAAAUCAAUGAAAUCAUAACAUUCAUAAUAUCAAAUACUGAAUACCAAAAAAUAUCACCAAACAAGAACCCAGGGGAAUAAACUCAUCAUAUCCGGACCUCGACGGACGGACAAUCAAGGAACCGUCAUGCCCUGGAGCUAUAAGGGAUAGACGUGGAAAUGCCAUUUCAUAUCUCAUAUAUCUCAUCAUAUCUGUGCAUGUAUAAUCUGGUCCCCAAAGGAUAAGGUGCCCAAGUAUACAGCCCAAAACCUCUAUGUGUACUCAGAUAGGCCUCAAAUGCCUCUCAUCUCAUAUGUAUCUCAAUAUCUGUGUCUCUGUAAUUAUCAUACUAGAUGCAUAUGCCCCCAAAAGGCAAAAGCGCCCAAACACACGGCCCAAAGCCUCUAUGUAUAUUCAGACGGGCCCCAAAGACCCAUCAUCUCAUAUCAUUUGUAUCAUUGUAUCUAGAGGGGAAGGGUAUUGUCCAAUAAUUUUGCAAACAACCUUUUAUACACAUGUACAUAAACAUAUAAUCACAUCUGAAAUCUCAUUUCCUUUUUAUUUAACAUAUCUCAAAUCCACUCAAUUCUAUUAUCAUGCAUUUACUCAAAAUUGAUAAUAAAAUCAUUAAUCAAACUCAUUUUUAAUAAUAAUAAAUAUCAUCACGUAGAUAAAAAUUCAUUUUCUAGGAAAUCAUCAAAUUGAAGCAUCAAAUACUUAUUAUCAAAACAUGUUGUACUGUAUCGUAAGAUUAGAAUAUACUAUGAAAAUAGGUUUUGUAUAUUCCACUCACAAUGACGAUGUUCAGACUCGGUAUCAACAACGUCCGCGGGUUGAUUCUCAUUCGCGGGUUGUUGGUGAAUUUUUACUCAAUUGCUGUUGAUGCCAAUGUGCAAGUGUACACAACAAGUAAUAAAGUGAUGAAUAUUCUAGAUCGUCUCUACAGAGACUGAUGUUACUAGAAAUGCUACAGUAAUCACAAUAGUGCAAUCUACCUUUAUUUCAUGAUGAACCUAGUUAAAAUUGAUUACUACCGAAAUUAAAAAUUGUAAAGAAAUAAAACAAAUAAUUGCAGUAAUGAAAUAAAUUAGAUAAAUUGCGUAAAAGAAUCAAAUGAGAAUGAGGUAGUUGAAUGAUCAAACUCUCUUCAUGGGUUGACUGCUUUUCAUCAAAUUAGCACCAGUUGCUACAACAAUUCCUACAGCACUAGGCAGAAUUAUUUUGCAUCCUCAGCUGUCGCGUGUUGGGCUUCUCAUACCCUUAAGUAUCUUGACAAUGACCAGUUGCUAUUCUACCUACGACAUGGCAUUAUGAACAUCUAUUCUCUCCACCCUCCAAGGUGAGUGCCUAUAUCUAAUUCUUCACAAAUUUUAACUUCAAGCAUAGCCCUUAUGGGAUUCAAGAUAAACUUAAUCCAGGAAACUCAAAUUAAGAUCAAGUAUUACUCUAAUAACAUCCACUAAGACAAGCCCUUUUACGACUCUAUCUUCACUUGAACUAUUAAAUGGGUGGUCAACCGAAAUAACAGUUAUAAUAAUAGCUACUAGAGUAAAAUGCUACAACAAUUAUAUAGCAACUCAUAAGAACAGUCAAAAACCCAUUGAGAUUGUUUGUCACUCAACUACAAGCAAGUUUAGUUCAUACUUUGAAAAAGAAAAACAAACAGCAAACUAUUGGUCACGAAAUACAUCGGUUCAAUCAAAGAGUAAAGAAAAGAACAAGUAAAGAACAAUGAAGAUUGAAUCCAAAUAACUAUGUUGGAUUCUUCACUGAUGCAGCUUGGUUCUCUUGAAUUCAAAUUGUUUUCUUCUUUUCCUCUUGAUUUUUCCAAUGUUAAUUCAUUUUUGCCGUUUUAUGUGAUGUGCGCCCCUUUUUAUAACUGAAACCUAGGGUAAAUAAAAGCUUAGGGCGCGCAUGAGUGAAAUUAGAAAACUGUAGAUCGCAAUUCUGCAGAUAUCCCGCCCUAAGUUUUCUCUGUUGUUGUUCCAGGAUUGCUACAGCAAUGGUUGCUCUAGCAACGGCCAUAAUACUGCACCGAUCCAGGUUUUGUUUCCCUUAUUUUGUGGUCAUAUUCUUCCUCCUUUUUGCCAACCUAUUGCAUCAGCAUCCCUUCCAUGAAUUAUAAACUUCUGAAAACCUACAAUUAUGCACAUGUUUUGAGCACAAAUUACUUUAAAUCAAGCAAAACUUAUUAAGACUACACUAAAAUGGAUGUUUAUGCAAAACGUAACAAAAAUGUAAUAAAAACACAUCAUUACUCUCUAAGUGGUCUUGAUUUAAGUCUAGAAUUGCCAUAAUAACUCUCAUUUCAUAGAGUUAUCACGGGUCCUCCUAAUCAAGUAAACGACAUAAUUAUUAUCUGUAACAUGAAAUACAUCUAACAAUACAAAAUAAAGCUCGAAACGAAACUCUCGGAUACAUAAAAUUUCAAAAUUACCCUUAUAUCCUAAAAUUACCAAAAUCCCCCUAACAUCGAAAUUUACCGAAUUGCUGUCGGAACCAUAAUUUAUCGAAUUAUCCUCAAAAUCAUAAAUUACCUAAUUGCUCUCAAUUCAAAUCACAAAAUUAACCACAAGUUCUGGAUUUAUGAAAUUACCCUUAGAAUGCAAAAUUAUUAAAAUGCCUUCAACAACAUAAAUUAGCGAAUUUCCCCCAAAAUCUUUAAUUACCUCACUGCCCUAGUCUAAAAUUACCAAAUCAUCCACCAAUUUCAGAAAUUACGAAUUAAUCCCCAGAGUUUGCAAAAUUACCAAAUUGCCCAUGCCGGUCAACGGUACCGAAGUUCAGUCAACAGUGACGAGAAGCUCAGGUCUGAUAGUUCUGACCUCGAUCAGUCCAAUGGUGCCAAUGGUGACCCCCCAGGCGCAGCGAUAAUGGCGGAUCAAACUUCCCAAGCCGCAAGAUUUCUGACAGUUGUUCACAGCCAAAACGGCAGUUAUAGAUGGCGGGGUUGGUUGGAAAACGAUGAGGGUGAGCUGAGGAUCAAGAUCCAAGUGGUGAUGUGGCCUAAAUUUGGUGAAAUCAACAACGACGAAAGCGAGUUGAGUUGCGGUCCUUGAAGCUUCGAUCACCCGCGUUCUGGCUGUUUUCCGGCGACGAUGACAACGGGGAUAUGACCGGCAUCGCUCAAACUUUAGAUCGAUACCAAGCUUGACUAGAACGGUGGCCGAAAACAGGAGUUGGAGCCGGGUCGAUUUCGCCAGUCGGGUCGGGUCAAAUGGGUCAAUUUCUCUUUCUCUCGCAUGCCCCCUCUCUUUCCAUUUUUGGAAACCAGCUCCCCUCUUUCUAUUUAUAGAAACUAGCUUCCAUUUUUUUAAAGCUUACUACCAAUUAAGCUAAUGCGGGACCCGUGUUGAAAUAAAAAUCUGACUACACAGCCAUUGAAUCGUGUUCGAAUUGUCUCAUUUUAUGUCGUGACAAAUUUAAAAUAAUCCAAACACGAUUUAUUUAAUAAACGCAUAACAUUUAACAGUCACCACUCAUAAUGUCGGAUAAUCGUGUUGUAUCAACUUCACCGUAAUAAUUUGGAACAAGUGCGACAAAUUUAAAAUUAAUGUCGAAGGGAAAAAAAUUAAAUAAUACACUUAAUUAGGAAAAUUAAAGUGCAUAUGUUACAGUUUUAUUAUUAAUUAUUGACUUUUUUUUUUGCAAUUUAUUGUGACACAUAAAAAAUCAUAUUAUUGAAAUUCCCAAUUGAAUAUAUAAAGUGAGUAAGUAUAACAUUACUCUUUCCAUAAUUGAUAAGUAACAAGUAAGGAUGGCAAAAAGACUAGAACAUGUUCUUGUCUGAUUGACCUAACUUUAAUUUUUAGGGUUUUUAAUUGAAUUUAAAGGGUCAAGGAUCAAGUUUCAACCCGAUUACAUUCAAGUCUAGGUUAGGACUUUAUAAAAAAUCCUAACUCAACCUUUGACCCUUAAAUUAAUUUUCAAAAUUAAAAAAAUAAUACUUAAAAAUUAGAACACAUCCACUACAAAUGUGGUCAAAACUCACUCCUCAAACUGAUAGUAUUUUGUAUUCGAUUUAUUUACUUGCUAAUUUGGUUAGAUUUUUACAUGUUGGAUUUUCGUUAAAGCUAAAUAAAAAGUUAAUUUAUUAAAUGCCUUACAACCAAAUUUAUCAUAAAAUGGAACAAUAAUAGUACAAUAUAAUUAAUAAAGAAUGAAAAGUUGGAGUCCUACUAAAGUAUCUAAAAAUUAAAAGAUUAUUGCAAGGUGUGGAUAAAGCUCGAGCCUGAACUUGACUUGAAAAAGGUCGACCCUAGCCCAACCCUUACUUUUGAGGAUCAAACUUUUGAAAGUUAAGACCCUUUAUUUUUAAUUAUAAGGGCAAGGCUAGGGGUUGGCCAAGCCUGAGCUCAACUAGAUCAAUUGCCAAACUUAUUGAUAAGAAAAUAAUUAAUACAGUUGUGAUAUUUGACCCCCUGGUUGUACCUCACCAGUCCCCACUAAUUACUUUUAUACUAAUAUUUAUUUUAUCUUUGUAUGAAAUGAUUUAAAAGAGUAAAUAGCUUUUAAGUGCACCCACAUGAUAAUUUCCAUUAAUAUAUAAUUUAACUAAUUUAUUUUCUUAAACCUUAAUUUUUUUAAACUUUUUAAAUUAUUAUUUUUUCUUAAAUAUUGUAUACUUUACUUUGGAAGAAAUUAAUUUAUAGCACGAAAUAGAAGAUGAUGAAGAAAUAUUAAUUUUUUUAUGGUUAUGGUAAUGAUGGAUAAAUUUUUAAACAGAGAGAGAGAGAUUAUAGUGAUUUUGAGAUUUUUUUCAUUUUGAAAUAGAUUUUAUAAGUUUCAGUGCUUGGAAAAAAGAUAAAAAAAUCAUAAUAAAGCUAAGUUCGCGAUUCAAUGAGGUAUGUUGAUAUAUAAAGUUUAGUUUAAAAUUUUUAAUAGCGUUAACGGAAAGGGGUUGGUAAAAUAUAAUAAGUGGGUCAAAUCUACCACCCUAAUUAGUAUCAUUUUACUCGAAAGUUUUACUUAUAAAUUUUGGAUAUUGACCGGCUUUAAAUCUAAAAAAAAAUUGAGAAAAAGUUACUUUAAAAAAUCUAUACAUUAUCCCAAAAAGUUGUACCCAAAAAAAAAAAAAAAAUCAGCCCGUUCUGAUUAAAUUCAAAAUGAAAAAACCCGGCCCGUUUCCCUACUUAAGACCCUCCUAGCAGUUUUAAAAAAAAUUUCCCAGCGAAGAAUAGAAGUGAUGGCAGCUGCUCUGUCUUCGACGCAUCGCAAUGGGAAUUUAGCUGGUUUUAAUUCUCUCUCUUAGCUGUUUCUGUUUCUUUAAUUUAACAUUGUGAUAUAUAUUUAUUAUGCUAGAGGUUCAACUAAGUCUCCAUUUACUGGGACUUUUCUCAUCUUGGGAAAUGUUAAUUUUGCCUUAUUUAUUCAGUAUUGUUAUCUUCCUCUGUCAAUAAAUUUUAUGCUUCGGUUGGUUAUUCAAUGUGGGUUUGUUCCAUUUUGUUCUUACGCUGUUUGUAUAAAUAUUAAAGGUUUGUUUUUUAAAAUGGCUUUCAGUCAAUUGCCUUCAAAGCUUUAUUUCCUAAAAGAGGAAAGAAAAAUAUACCAAAAUGUUUAAUUUCUACUGCUAUAUGUUUGCGUUUUUAGCUUCUGCUAUGCUUUGUAUUGUGUUGUUUGUGUUGGUAUUAAUGCUAGAAAGAUGUUUUCUUCUCAAAUCUGAUUGCUUAGAAUGAAUAUGAGGUGGUUAUUGAGUUGCAAUAUAUCGAAUAAAUUGAAGACGUCUGCUUCAUAGGUUUUGAUUCUAUUAAUUGUUUUCAUUUCAAGCAUGACACAAUUGCAUGGGUGUUCGAGGAGGCUAAGGGUGAUUUCUUAGGGUUGAAGCUAUAACUUUCUUUUAUUAUUGUCUAGUAUCAAAACUUGAAAAUAAAGUUUAAAGAUAAUGCUUAUGAUACAAACACAAAUGAUUGGAAAGGUAACUUGAACAAAAUAGAAGGAAAUCAAUAAGAAUAGGUUAAUUCGAGGAACUCUAAACCUUCAAAAUAAUAUUGGUUAUUUGAGAAACCAAUAAACUCGUAAAAUUUAAUUUACAAGUUGCGAAAAUAAUAGUACUCAAGACACUCUUUUAUUGAAUAACAUCAAGCUUUAAAUAGAGCUUUACUUCAAAGUUACAAGCAUAAAAAUAAGCAAGCAUUAAGCAUGUUCUCCAUCAUUCUCCAUGAAUCCACAAAAUAAGGAACCAACUAACAACUUGAUUUUGACUUAUUAAAAACCAGCUACACUUAAAAUAUAAAGUAAAUAAUUACUUUAACUUUAUUACAUGUUCAAUAAAUUCUUACUUGAAUUCAAUUUCCAAGUGCAGUUGCAACCAGACAAAGUGAAAAGGCAGAUAUCUGUGAUUAAUAGGAAACUUUUAGUGUAAGUUUCUAUUCUUUGGUCAUUCUUAUAACUGAUUUUUCAUUCUUGUCCAAUAUUUUUUCAAUUUGCAUCUAUCAGUUUAUCCUAUGAGACAAUAUUCAUUUGGAACUUUUGUGUCGCCCGUUCAAUAAUCAUUUUUCCCCUUUUCCUGAAAAAUUUUCAAAUAUGUUGCUUCAGAAGAGUUCUUCCUCUAAGAUACCAUUGUUCUUUAGUAUAUCAAGUUUGCUUGGACUUUGCAGUUUUCAAGUUUUUACAUUUUGUUUAUUUUCUCAUCUGAUUCAGGCACUUUGAGGCAGUUGAGGCCAGGAUUCUUCGUGCAUCAUUUUCUGCUUUUGUAGAUGUGCUUACACUUGCGACAAAAACAAUCGUACAGUUUGGUCAUGGAACGGAAUUGUAACAUCAUACUAUCUUUGGCAGUUGGAGAAUCAUUCUUAGUAGGAACUGUAUUACUUUAAUUCGCCUUCUUGUUUCGGAUUAGUUGACGUUUUUGUAACAAGAGAAUCUAUAGUGUUCGUUUUAUAAUGUAAAUCUUCAAAUUAUCGGAAACCUGUAACAAAUUCUUCAAAGCUGUGAAUUAUAAGUUUUUUUUUUUUAAUCAUUAGGUUUUAUCAAGAGGUUGCAGCUGUAAAUGUUAUAAUCCUCCCUUAGACCUUUUCAAUAAAGUUUUUGACAAGCUAUCUCCAACUCUUUCAGUUUGGGCCAAGCUAGAUUGCCAGACCUCACUUCUAGGGCUUUUCUGUUUACCCCUCAAACAGUUCAAUCUGAUAUUGAUUUCGUAAAGUGAGUAGAAUGAAGAAUUCAUUAGUGCUAAUAUUCUUCCAGCCAUUGAUGCAAUUCUUUACCAUUGUGUGACGCAGGAGGUACCUACUUGGCUACCAAGUGGCCCUCAGCUUAACGUGCCUCGAUAGCCUUCAAGCUUUUAGAAUUCAUCUAGCUGGUGGAAUCCUAUCUGGCGUCUCUCUAUAAGUUUGAAAAUCAAGAAUUUUCUAUAGCAAGCGUCAAGGGAUUUCUUGUCACCCAAAAGGAACCCAGAAAAGAUAAAAUCGUAGACAGCACUGUUUCACAUGCUGGAAUUCUCGGGAGGGUGCUUAUCAUAUGCUUGUGGCUAUAAAUAUGCUCGAAAAAAAUUGAAAAUUGAUGCUGCAAUCCCUCUGAGCCUCAAAGCAAAAAAAAAUGCCCUUUUAUAGCAUUGCUAAGAUGAAAGAUUACAGACUUAGCAAGGCUGACAUUGAGCAACAAUUUUAUGCAUACACUUUAUCUUGGGCAGAAUCACCAAAAGUCGAUGCAUCUUAAAAUUUAGAAUAAAAGCAGAUUCGACUUGUAUUAUAAGAAAUUCAAAUGGGGUGUCACGGCUGCGUCCAUCUCUAGGAAAACUCGCUUACAAAAAAUGCUGAAUGCUUUGGCAAUUCUUGAUGGCAUCAAAAUGGCAGUUGAUUCUGGACUGCACCCACCAUUUUAAUGCAGUGAAAUCAAUCUUAAAGAAGAGACUUCAGAUGGAUGAUCAAAGGAAUGCUCGGUUAUGUAAGAAAAGGAAAACAAUUUAUAGUUGCAAUACACUCAUCAAUAAUCUCAGGAACCUCUGAUGAUUGAAUUACAAGCAUACCUGUUCAUGCAAGAUAUUUGAUGCUAUGCAUCCGAAACUUCAUCGACCUUUGCAUCUAAGAGAUCAUUAACCUUACAAGUCACAGAACCCAAAUGGUCCACAGUGUUCACAACAGUAUCGUAUUCGUGAACAGUACCGUAUGUAAACAGUACCAUAUGUAAAUAGUACUGUAUUCCCCCAAGUACGAACCGUGGGCUCUGAUACCACUUGUUGUGUGCAGAAUGUGGAAUCAAGCGCACCAAAUAAUUAUAGAAAAAUAAAGGACACAAGAAUUACGUGGUUCGGUAAUUAAACCUACAUCCACGGAGGCAAGAAAGAAUAAUUGUUUAUUUAACAAUUAAUAGAGUACAAUAUUUGAGUAAUGAAUCUCACUUCCCAGAAACCCAAAUAUACCCAGUACUCUGACACUCUGCAGGAAAGAUAAAUUCCCCAGACACACUUCUCUCUCUUCUCUCAAAAGCUUGGAAAAUUAUAAGCUUAACAAUUUUGGGAUACUUAGAAUGGAAGAAGUGUCAUCUAUUUAUAGGGAAAACAAUGGCAAUAUUGCACCAACCCCUCUACUAUUCUACCUAACCUAAGCAAAUUGUCGAUGGUGUCCAUUUGGCAAAUUUGACAAAUUUGCCAACUUUUCAUUUUUUUCUUCAAUUGUUUGGUAGCUCUUUGAAAAUUUGCAUGCUUUCUUGAAUUUGGAUGCCACAUGCAUGAAUUUUUAACAAUUCUCUACCUUGGCGAAAAUUUGUCUAAAUCUGAGCCGACUACCAGUGAACCAUCAUCCCCAAAGUGGCUGGAUCUCUGAUGACUGCCUACAUACCCAAUUUGGGAUUAAGCCAACCGUAGUUCAAUAUUCCUGAAGGACAUAACUUAACACAAUCGAAGGAUUUGAAUUAGUUUCAAGCAAUGUUAAAACUUAACUCUAGAAACUACCUUUGUCAAUAUAUCUGACGGAUUAUCUAUGGUAUCGAUCUUUCUCAACAACACAACACCACUCACGAUAAUCUCUCUCACAUAAUGAUAUUUCACAUCUAUGUGCUUCGUCCGACCGUGAUAUAUUUGAUUCUACGCAAGGAAUAUCGCACUUUGAUUAUCAUAGAAGAUCACAAUGUUCUCCUAGAUUACUCCCAAAUCACCUAACAAGCCUUUCAACCAGAUAGCUUCUUUUGCAGCUUCAGUUGCUGCCAUAUACUCUGCUUUCGUAGUGGACAGAGCAAUUGUCGAUUGUAGAAUCGACCUCCAGCUAACCGGACCUCCACCCAAUGUGAAUACGUAGCCCGUUAUUGAUCUUCGCUUGUCAAGGUCUCCAGCGAAAUCAGAAUCACAACACAUUGUUGACCACAAUCCUUAUUGAACAAUAACCCAACAUCAACUGUCCCUUACAGAUAUCAGAGAAUCCACUUUACCGCAAGCCAAUGAUUUUUACCCGGAUUUUGCAUGUAUCUACUAACCAUGUUCACUGCUUGAGAUAUAUCGGGCCUUGUACAUACCAUAGCAUACAUAAGACUACCCACAACACUAACAUAUGGAACACGAGCCAUGUAAUCACACUCCUCUUGAGAUCUAGGACAUGAAAAAGAGCUUAAUUUGAAAUGAGGAGCUAGAGGUGUUGUUGAUUGAUUUCUAUAAUCAAUUAUUAUCAAUGCCAAUGUGCAAGUAUACACAACAAGUAAUAAAGUGAUGAGUAUUUCAAGAUCGUCUCCACAGAGAUUGAUGUUACUUAAAAUGCUAAAGCAAUCACAAUAGUGCAAAUCAACUAAAGACCGAAACAAACAAUUGUCAAAUAAUUCUAUCGUAACUAAUAAUUGUGAGAGAUGGAAAUAAAAUAAUACUGUAAUGAAAUAAACUAAGUUAAAUGUGUUUAAGAUUCAAUUGAGAAUAUAGUAGUUGAAUGAUCAAACUCUCCUAAUGGGGUGACUGUUGUUUACCAAAUUAGCACCAGUUGUUACAAUAAAUGCUGCAGCAAUGGUUAGAAUAAAUCUGCAUCCGCAGCUAUCGCAUGUUGGAAAUCUCAUACCUUUAAAUCUACUAACAAUGACCAGUUGCUCAUAUAUUUAUGGUACGACAUUAUAACCUUUAAUCUCUCCACCCUACAAGGUGAACACCUAUGUCUAGAGUGUCACAAAUCUUAACUUCAAGUAUUGCCCUUAUGGGAUUCAAGGUAACCUAAUCAAGAAAACUCGACUUAAGAACAAGUAAUACCCUAAUAAUGUCCGCUAAGACAUACCCUUUUGCUGCUCUAUCUUAACUGAAACUAUUAAAUGGGUGGUCAACUGAAAUAACAGUUGUAUUCAUAAAAACUACUAAGAGUAUAAUGCUACAGCAUUACCAUAACAACAUAAAAGAACAGUCAAGAACCCAUUGGAUUAUUUGUCACUCAACCACAAGUAAAUUUAGUUCAUAAUCUGGAUGAGAAAAAUAAACACGAAUAUAUUGAUCUCGGAAUACAUCCAAACAAUUCAAGGAAGAACAGAAAAUAUAAGUUGAGCACGAUGAAAGAAAAAUAAUUAUGCACGAUUCUUUUCUUUGUUUCCGAAUAGCACUCCUAAAUCUUGAUCUCCUUCUUCUUGCCUUUGUAAUUAUUUUUUAUGAUAAUUCCUUGCCGCCUUUCUAUGUGGUGCACGCCUCCUUUUAUAUUGCAAAUUAGGAUAAAAGACCUAAAGUCCAUGCGCAUGCAUGUGUUUAAAUUAGGAAACAUGCAUAUCGCGAUUUUAUGGCUGACCCACACUUUAAGCUUUCUCCCGCAUUACUCUCUGAUUGCUGCAGCACUGGUUGCUCUAACAUCCACAACAACACUGCAUUAUUCCCGAUUGUGCUUGUCUUCUUUUGUGGCCAUCUUCUUUCCUCCUCUUGCUCAUCUAAUGUCUCAGCAUCCCCUUAUGAAUUUAAAACCUACAAUUAUGCACCUGUUUUUAGCAAAAAUUACUUGAUUUAAACAAAACUUAUUAAAACCCAACUAAAAUGAAUGUUUAUGCAAAAGGUAACCAAAAUGUAAUAAAAACACCUUAUUUUCUCUCUAAAUGAUCUUGAUUUAACUCUAGAAUUGAUGUAAUAACUCUCAUUUCCUACAGUUAUCAGGUGUACAUACCGGUUUAGUUUUGUCAUCAAUACCGAAUCUUUCUAGAACUUUCUUCAAAUAAGACUUUUGAGUCAACCAUACACUCUCAUUCUUCUUGUCUCUACGAAUCUCCAUCCUAAGUAUUCUCUGUGCAUCACCCAAAUCUUUCAUCUCGAACUCAGAAGCCAGCUGCUUCUUUAAUCUUUCGAUCUCAUCUCUAUUCUUCGAAGUUAUAAGCAUAUCGUCAAAAUAGAGUAACAAAUAGAUGAAAGCUCCAUUUAGUAGUCUUCUAAAGUAAACACAAUGAUCGUGUUCACUUCUAGUGAAUUUUUGCCCUUGUAUAAAUUGAUCAAAUCUUUUGUACCACUGCCUUGGCGAUUGCUUCUGUCCGUACAAAGAUUUAAUCAAUUUACACACAUGAUUCUCCUUUCCAGCAACUUUGAAACCACAAGGCUUAAUCAUAUAGAUUUCCUCCUCCAAAUCUCCAUGUAAGAACGUCGUCUUAAUAAUCCAAUUGAGCCAACUUUAACUCAUAUUCUGCAACUAAGGCAAGUAGGAUACGAAUGGAAGUAUGUUUUACAACUGGAGAGAAAACUUCAUUGUAGUCAAUACCUUCCUUCUGAGCAAAAUCUUUUGCAACGAUUCUUGCCUUGUAUCGAGAAGUUGAUUGAUUUGGAGAUCCUUGCUUCUUGGUGUAGACCCAUUUAUUGCCAAUAGCCCUUUUUCCCUUUUGGUAACUCCACAAGUUUCCAAGUCUGGUUUUGAUGGAGAGAUUUCAUCUCUUUUUCCAUGGCUAACUUCCAUUGAUCACUUUCACUGCUGUGUAAUGUUUCACUGAAAGUGUUGGGGAUUUCAUCAUCAAUAACUAGAAGUGCAUAGGCUACCACCAUAUCUUUAGUAAGCCAUCCGAGUUUCUUUAUCUCUCUGUUUGGCCUCCUUGUUGCUAUAAAAUCAUCAUUAUCUACAUCAUCAAUUGUUUCUUCAUUUUGUGAGACAUUAGAAGAAACAACAUCUUCUUCAACUCUAGGUGUCACCCCCAUAGUUGAACCCUUAUCUGAUGUAGAACUAACUGGUACAUAUGGAGUUGCAUCAAACUCCACCCGCUGCAAUACCUCUUUGGUCUUGUUCUCCACCUGCUGAGAACUUGAAGCUUUCAUCAUUAAAGCUUCAUCAAACGUGACAUCUCUACUACACACAAACUUUUUAUCUUCGAGAUCCCAAAGCUUGAAGCCCUUUACUCCACAUUUGAAUCCCACAAAGAUAGCUUUUCUAGCACGAGGAUCCAGUUUACCAUCUUUGACAUGAUAAUAAACUGGACACGCGAAUAUACGAAGAGAAUCAUAGUCUUGUACAUGCUUUCCAGACCACAUUUCCAUAGGAGUUUUACCUCCAAUUACAACAGAAGGCAACCGAUUUACCAAGUGACUUAUGUAGCUCACAGUUUCAGCUUAAAACUUUUUAUUUAAACCAGCAUUAGAUAACAUACAUCGUACCUUCUCCAGUAAAGUACGAUUCAUACGCUAAGCCACACCGUUCUGUUGCGGAGUAUGUCUGAAAUAUCUUUAAUACCCUCGUUCUGGCAUACUUGCAAGAAUGGAUCAAAAGUAUAUUCACCCCCAUUAUCAGAUCGUAAUACUUUGAUCUUUCUGGCAGUUUGAGUCUCCAUCAAUUUCUUUCAUUUCACGAAAAUCUCUAAAACCUCAUCCUUUGCUCGCAUGGUGUACACCCACACACGUCUAGAGAAAUCAUCAACAAAUGUAACAAAAUAAUGGCUUCCACCAAUUGAUGCAGUCUUGGUUGGUCCUCAUACAUCACUAUGAACAUAUUCAAGGAUCUCACGAGUAUCGUGAUUAACUGUACCAAACUUGACUUUUGUUUUCUUGCCUACUACACAAUGCUCACAGAAAUUUAAUUUACAGGUUUUAAUACCUUUUAAGAGUUCGUGCCUCAUUAGAGUUUGCAAAUACUUCUCUCCAGCAUGUCCCAAUCGUACAUGUCAUAGCUUGGUGGUGUCAUUAUGCGCCUCAAUAACAUUUGCUUCAUCAGUUGUACCUCCCUUCAAAUAGUACAGAUUGUGACGCUGAACCCCUUGCAGAAUCACCAUAGUCCCAUGUGUAAACUUCAUUGUGCCAUCUCCAAUGGUAACCUUGUAGCCUUUAGCUUCCAAAGCACCUACAGAAAUUAGAUUUUUCUUUAAAGCUGGAACAAAUCUAACCACUUUGAGUUCUUUGAUCAUUUCAUCAAAUAUUUUGAGUCGAAUUGUUCUUAUCCCUAUUGUGCGACAAGGUUGAUCAUUCCUCAUCAUAACUGCACCAGAUUCCAAUUCGUUAAAAUCCGUAAAUCAUUCCUUAAUGGGACACAAAUGAUAGGUUGCUCUAGUAUCAAGUAUCCACUCGCUCGAACUAGCCACGUAUGCUGCAGGAGUAAUACUUAGUGAAUAAUCAGAGUCUUCAUCUUUUCGUGCCAUGUUUGCUGCUGCUGGUUUCUUCUCAUCUCUCUUUUGAGCCUUUGGACAAUCUUUCCUUCAAUGACCCUUUUUAUGACAAAAGGCACACUCGUCUCGAGCUAUAUUUCUGCUUCUCGAUUUGGAUCGAGAAUUCUUUCCACAAUGCUUUUUCUUUUUCUCCAUCGCCCAAUCUCUGCUCACCAAAGCUUCAGACGAUGCUCGUUCAAAAUUUUUAUUAUUAUUCUGAAUCUCUAAGUUAGUCAAUGCUUUGAAAACAUCUUUGAAGAUGAUCACGCUUUUCUCAUAUAUCAAGGUAGUCACAAAAUGACUAUAUUCCUCUGGUAGUGAGUGUAACAGAAUCAUAGCCUUGACUUCAUCCUUAAUAUCUUCAUCAAGAUUCUUCAAAUCAGCAAGUAACUUUUCAAAUCUCGAGACAUAAUCAUGCAUUCACACCCCAGGCUUCAUUCGAAAGCCAUAUACUUGGUUCAUUGCAUGAAGGCGAUUUUCAGGACUUUUUAGCAAGUACUUCUCUUCCAAUGUACGCCACAAAGUCAUCACACACUCCUCAUCCUUCACCAAGUAUUUGACCUCCUUGGUCAAAUAAGAUCUGAUCUGACCACAGGCUUUUUCAUUCAUAUGAUCCCAAAUUUCUUCAUCAUAUAAAUGUCUUUUAUUUUUCAGAACAACAUCGAGAUCGAUUUGAAUAAAGGCGUCCAUAACUUCGCGCCUCCACAUGCCGAGGUUGAUUUUCCCAUUAAACUUUUCAACAUCGAUCUUCUGGCCUCCUAUAAUAGGUGAUCAAUAGCGAUUUGACAAAUCUCGCCUCCCACCUAAAGUGUCUCCUGAAAUAGUCUCGGUAAAUCUCUCCCCAAUUCUGGAAGUUUCACCUUCUACCAUUUUCUCAACGAACUAUUUCCACUUGAAAAACAAUCUCUAUUAUGUUAAUUUCGCUUGAAUAAACGCACCAAGAAAGUUCCCAAGAGACUGGACGAGAACUCGGUCCCAAUUAAAAACUAUAAUCCUUAGACUAUUAUCGCCUUUGUUGAUAGAACUUUCCUAGACAUGCAAAAAUACACACUACUUAUAAUAGAUUGUCUCCCAAGUACAAAUGGCCGUCUCCACCGUAUUCGUGAACAGUACCGUAUCCCCCCAAGUACGAACCGUCGGCUCUGAUACCACUUGUUGUGCGCAGAAUGUGGAAUCAAGCGCACCAAAUAAUUAUAGAAAAAUAAAGGACACAAGAAUUACGUGGUUCGGUAAUUAAACCUACAUCCACGGAGGCAAGAAAGAAUAAUUGUUUAUUUAACAAUUAAUAGAGUACAAUAUUUGAGUAAUGAAUCUCACUUCCCAGAAACCCAAAUAUACCCAGUACUCUGACACUCUGCAGGAAAGAUAAAUUCCCCAGACACACUUCUCUCUCUUCUCUCAAAAGCUUGGAAAAUUAUAAGCUUAACAAUUUUGGGAUACUUAGAAUGGAAGAAGUGUCAUCUAUUUAUAGGGAAAACAAUGGCAAUAUUGCACCAACCCCUCUACUAUUCUACCUAACCUAAGCAAAUUGUCGAUGGUGUCCAUUUGGCAAAUUUGACAAAUUUGCCAACUUUUCAUUUUUUUCUUCAAUUGUUUGGUAGCUCUUUGAAAAUUUGCAUGCUUUCUUGAAUUUGGAUGCCACAUGCAUGACUUUUCAACAUACUGGACAUGAUUUCGAAAGGGAUUCAUCUUCUAGUGGGUCAAUUUUAAAUAGUGUCUCAAUUUCUGUGGAUGCCGACCCUUAAUUUCAAACAAAUGGUGACAGAGAAGAAUGGCCUUGAAACUGUUUGUAUUUCAUAAAUAAGAUUGUUAGACUUUUCCGAUACUAUCAUUCUUGUAUCCUUACAGUUUCUUUGGGCACCAUCAUUUGUAAUUAAACACUUCCAAGUCAUUUCAAACAAAUUUUCCACUAUUUAAUUGCAUGCGCUGCAUCUUCCUCGUUUUUUUUUCUUUUCUUUUGGUGGGGGGGGGGGCAAAUGGAGGAGAUGAAGGAAAAAUCUGUUGAAAUUAAUUUCGUAGUUGAAGUUUAUAAAUGCAAGAUGAUAUGAUCUCAGAGUCUAUUAAAUACUGAUGUGCAAGAACUUUAGCACCAUGUGACCUAAUAUCUCUAGUAAAUAGGAGAGAACAACUUGAGCACUUAAAGAGGGCCAACGUUAAAUAAACUCCAGAGUGGCAUGUCGGAAUUGUUGGCUUAUUGUUAUGCAGGACUUUCCCGGUAGUGAAAUAAAGUCGAAAGGAAGAUGGGAGGAAAUAAAGAUCAAUGCGCUUUCUUGUAUUUCAUGGGUUAAAAAUCUUUUUAUCUGAUUACAAACUGAUAGAUAAAAUACCCUUGUAUCAUUUGUGAGUGAAUCUCUUAGGUCAAAUAUAUAAAGUUAGAACAAUCCUCAACUCUUUAGUUAGAUUUUGAGUAUGGCUUAAACCCAUGAACUUUUAUAUUUUAUUAGAGAUAAACUCACCCACGAUUAUGCCCGCACUACCUCCCACAGUACCUUACCACUAGACGCCCUUCACAUGGAGGCUUGGGUACCACUCGAAAAGUCAUUUGAAAGAAAAGUCUGUUUAAAAUUACGUUCCAAUUCUGUACUCUCAGCUCUCCAAGUUAUAAAUUGAUAUUCAACUCAUGUUAUAAAAGGGUAAUGCUAGAGGAUCCCAUCUCGGGUACCAAUGGAUGGAUGUGGCAUUCAUUAAGUGGAUAGUAGAAUAUUUAUUUUAUCAGUUAUAAAAUUUAUUAUUCAAUAGAUAAACAAUAUAUAAUAGUUGGGACUCAAAUCGGGACUUAAUUGGUGGGUCACAAUCAUUAUUGGUUAAAAAAAAUGUACAGAGAUAACUAGCGUAAGAGGUAAAUCAAAAACUCUUUCUUUCUCUCUGCUAAGACCCUUUCUGCCACCAGCUAAAAUUCACUAGCUUUGAUCAAUCAACGUGCCUGAAUUACAGAGCCACCACAUUUUCGAACCUCUAAACUUUCAAAUCUAUUUUCCAACUCUGUUUUUCCAACCACUGCAGCCUCGGACCAACCGAAACUCCCUGCUGCUACCUCUAGCUACCACGUCGCCAAUUGCCCAUCACACAGCAAAAAAUUAUACUAAAGGAGUUUCAGUCGGGGAGGGAACCAGUACGUCAAUUCUUUUUUCUUAUUUUCUAUUUUUCUUCUAUAUUUCUUUUGUUUUUAUUUUCGUCUCUGCUUCUGUUAUUGUGCUUGUUUUUAUGUUUUGUUGUUUUCUAAGAUUUUAUACUGCUCCUGCGGUGGUCCUGGUGGUCUCUACAUAGAUGGUGUUGUUUCAAUGUCCAAAUCGAGAUUGUGUCAGUGUUCGGAUUGGAACGGUAUGCCGUAUGCCUAUAUUGAAGCUGUUGAGGGCUUUAAUAGUGGUACAUCAAGGUUCUAAUAACCUAAGGCGAGUUUCUGAUGGCCUAGGUCAAAGGCUCUUUGAGAGGCUUUCUAGUGAACCUUAAGGUUGGUUUUUGUGUUGCAUUUUGUGGUUUUUUUUUUUUUUUUGUUAUUUGUUUGCAUUCUGUUGCUACAAUUGUAUUUUCUUGUGUUCUGUUGUAUUAUCAAACACGAGGGGGAUUUCAGCUAUAGUAGCUAAGAUUGGUUCCUCUAGUUUUUCUUUGGAUUUUAAUUGAGAAACAAAUUAAUCUCCUUUAAUUUAUCUUAUGUAUUGUACUUAAGCCUGUUAUAACCCUUAUUUUUUUUAUUAUUACAGGUCCGUCAUAUUUCCUUUAAAAUAAAAAGAAAAAAAGAAUAUAGACAAUAUAUGUUUAAUACAAUUAAGCUUAGGCUACUUUUGCCUUUGCACUGGGGACACAGUCUUUGACCGACACCACCAUGGAUCUUGCUCAGGUACAAUUUCGAAUACUAAUUAAAUUAAUUUCAUAUAUGUAUUGUAAUUACUGUAUUUCCUUGAACCGACUACGUAUCUAACAAAAAAUUAGAGAAAGUAAUUGCAGAAUUCGCAUAUGUGAAAAAGGCAAGAUUUAUAUAUAGCCGUAAUUUAUUUUGAUAUUCUAUUUCAUCUUUUGGGUUUGUUUAGGUGACUUGUUGUGUAAUAUCACAAGCCCCCGCAAUUGCUCAUCCGGAUGUCCCAAAGGUUACUUUUCAAAUUCCAACUUCGGUGACUGCACAAGUUCAUAUGAACCUGAUCCAAUUUUGCACAAAAAUUCUCAUGUCAAAUUCAUUAUUAUAGGUAUGUAUUGGAAUUUGCAGAUUUCGUCGACAGAAUUAAUUGUUCUUCUUUUUUUCUUUUAAUUAACGUAUAUAUAUGGGGGGUAAUUUUUAAAAACCUCCCCUGAGAUUUGGACUUGUUGCAAGUAGAUGGCGAGAAUCUGUUUAUUUGUAAAAAACCCCCUACCGUCAGUUAACUUUAACAUUGACCGUUAGUUGACUGUGCAAAGAUAAUAUUACCCUCAACAACAAUUUGUAGACGGAAAUAACUAAAAAAAAAAUUAAAAUUGUUGGCGCGAAAAACACAAACCCUAUUUUUUGACAAUUUUAUCCUUGUCAAUUCCAAAAAUUUACAAUAUCAUAAGUAAAGAUUAUAACUAUUUCAUUUUCAAGUUUUUAAUUUUAACUUUUUUGUAGAAACUUUAAGAAAAUAUCAAUAAUUUAAAGAGGAUUUUUUAAAUUUUUAAUUUUAUCUUUCUUGUAGGAACUUUAAGAAAAUAUCAAUAAUUUAAAGAGGAUAAAAUAGCCAAUAAUUUUAAUUUUUUUUUAGUUAUUUCCGUCUACAAAUUGUUGUUGAGGGUAAUAUUGUCUUUGCACAGUCAACUAACGGUCAAUGUUAAAGUUAACUGACGGUAGGGGGUUUUUUACAAAUAAACAGAUUCUCGCCAUCUACUUGCAACAAGUCCAAACCUUAGGGGAGGUUUUCAAAAAUUAUAUGGGCUCACAAAUGCAAAAACGUUCUGCACCUGAAAUUUGCAAUAGCAUAUACAUUUAUGAUCACCUCGAACGCGUAUUAAAUAUUCUUGUUCGGGAGCGUUGCAGGUUGCAAUAGUGGGCUUGGAAUGUUGUUCCUACUAAUCGGAACAUGGUGGUUGUACAAGUUCAUUGAAGAAGCGAAGUCAAGCUCAAGCAGAAGUUCUUUAAAAGAAACGGUGGUUUAUUGUUGCAACAACAAUCGUCAUCAAAUGAAGGUAAUACCGAGAAAACAAAAUUGUUUACUUCAAUGGAAUUGGAAAUGGCUACUGACAACUUCAAUACCAAUCGAAUCCUUGGUCAAGGAGGCCAAGGCACAGUGUACAAAGGAAUGUUGACAGAUGGAAGAAUUGCGGCUGUGAAAAAGUCGAAAUUAGUGGAUGAGAGUAAUAUUGAGCAAUUCAUCAAUGAGGUGGUAAUUUUAACUCAAAUUAACCACAGAAAUGUUGUUAAAUUGUUCGGAUGCUGCUUGGAGACAGAGGUUCCUCUUUUGGUGUAUGAAUUUAUUCCAAAUGGAACUCUCUAUCAAUAUAUACAUGAAACUGAGUUCUCAAUCACAUGGGAAAUGCGUUUACGCAUUGCCAUAGAAGUUUCAAGUGCUCUAUCCUAUUUGCAUUCAACUACUUCUAUUCCAAUUUAUCAUCGAGACAUCAAGUCUGCAAAUAUACUAUUGGAUGAUAAAUUUCGAGCAAAAGUUUCAGAUUUUGGGGCUUCUAGAUCUGUCACGAUUGAUCAAACUCAUUUGACCACACGAGUACUAGGAACUUUUGGAUAUCUAGAUCCAGAGUACUUUCGGUCAAGUCAAUUUACAGAGAAAAGUGAUGUUUAUAGUUUUGGGGUUGUCCUUGUUGAGCUUUUAACUGGACAAAAACCUAUUCGUUCAACCGACGCUGAAGAAGAUAAAAGUUUAGCAGGGUAUUUUCUCCUAGCAAUGAAAGAGAACCGUUUGUUUGAUGUGCUUGAUGCUCAAGUUCUUAGGGAAGCCAAGGGAGAAGAGAUUAUUACCGUUGGCAUGCUUGCAAAAAGAUGCUUGAAUUUGAAUGGGACGAAGAGACCUACUAUGAAAGAAGUCGCAUUUGAAUUAGGGGGGAUUAGAGCUCAAAAGUGUGAAGACAUUGAUCUUGUGGGUGGCAAUUUUGAAACUGGUUCAUCUUCAACUGGAGCAAUUUUAAAUGCUGUUGCUUUUUCUGUAGAUGCUAGCCCUUUGCUUUCAAACAAGUGGUGAUUAAAGGGAAGAAUUUUCCCUUGAAAUCUAAAUAAUUUUCUUUUGAAAUCUAAGUAUUUCAUUUCAUAUAUAAAUAAAUUAAGUUGUGGAUUUUUGCAUUGUGCUUCUCUUAUGGUUAAAAUUUUUCAUCUCUAGAAUAAAAUAUACAGAGUUUGAUGUUCAGUUUGUAAGCGGAGAAAUAAAUUUAUAAGGUAGAUUCCAACUAAGCAUCUGUGGCAAACAUAUUUAAAUAUCUAAGGAGCAAGCUUCUAAUGCUUACCAAUAUUUAGUGCACUAGAACUUUGAAGCUGACAGAGUGAGGCAUCUCAGCACCUGAAUCUGCAUACAAGUGGAACAGAAGAUGCUGACAUGACAUCCUACGUGGAACUUACGUGACACAUAUAAUGAGUCCAGUUCGUUCCUAAUUCACACGCUUACAUUGUAACCCCGUUCUUUGUGUUUCGAGUACCAUUGGUGAACCAUCACUUGGUGCCAUUGUAUUGCUAAUAGCACCUUUGCCUUAUUGAUUUUGCUGACAAUGUAUAAGGUGUGUUUAGGAGUGAAGUGUUAUAACUUUUAUGUUGCGUUUACUUUCCGGACCAGAGGAUCAGAAUCAUUAACAUUGUUUACUUCGCAAAAUAAAUCUAAGAAUAAGAAUCAGAAUCGUGGAGCACACCACAAUUUUUGAAUGAGGAAUGGGAGACUCAUUCCGAAGAGGGAGGUGGGAAUGAGUCUCCCAUUUUCAAGAUUGAUUAUUUUACCCUCCCUAAAUUUUUGUCCUCAUUUAUAA